rnacentral:lncRNA from 1 species
GGAGCCAGAGCACCCCGCCUGCACUGCGAUCUGCAGCGGCGUGCACACGCCCCAUUACCGACCGCCAGCGUGCCCGACCGCGGCCAAGCCUGCGCGGGUCGCGACCCGCGCGCCGCGCUUCCUCCGACCGUCGUGCCCCUCGCGCGCCAUUGAGUAUUGAGUAUUGAACGCCGAGCCCUGGGCACCCCCUUGUCGCAGCACAACGCCAUUGCCAGCUCCAUACAGACGUCGGCGUUCUUACGGGGCGCAGCGCCCCCGCCGAGGAUUCCCCUGGGCCUGCCCUCUCUCUUGCGCGCGCUGCGCCAAUAUACAGUACAUGCCCCAUUCUCUUGCUUCCCUUCCUGGCUUCGCUCCAUGCGUGCGCGCGAUCGAGGGCCCGUGGUCCAAGCUUCACCGACCGGUGGCGUCGCGCAGAACUCAGUAGCAAUGUACAUGGCGCGGCCGGGGUUUCUCCGCGUCUGUAGGCGCGAGCUCCUUCGUGCAAGCCGUCCGCCGCCUGCGGCGCAGAGCCGCGUUCUACUAUGCAGAUGGGCAUGCACUAAGUAUAAGUAUGAGCAUUCACCGGAACGCGCGGACAUCGGUACCCCUGAGCUGAAUUCGUCCGCGACACCUCAAUUGACUGCGCCUGCGGACAGGUCUUCAGGUCCUCACGUCGGGAAGGCAGGUGGUCUCGUCGGGGCAGAUGUAGGCAUGUUGCAUUCACCUUGCUUGGUACUUUGUGCAUCCCUGGAUCACCACGAGCCCUCAGCGAGGGGGAUAGACCCUGACCGCGCCUGUAGCGCAUCAAUCCCGCCGAUCGACGUCUGCCGUAGGAAAAUCUCGAUCCCACGCACGGUGCCAGGUCUAACCCGAAACGGACGGGUACACAAACCGACACAACUGCGUCAUGCGCUUUGUUACCGGAUGCUAUACAAAUACGUUAGGAGACAGAUGGGACGGUGGUUUGCGAGCGGGAGGGGGAGGCAUGCAUGUGUGAAUGGAGGUUGCAAGCAUUGGAGUGGAAAUUAGACAUCGGCCGGACCAUCUCGUCGAAGCACGAAGCUUACUUGAAUAAUGAAGAACAUACCCCGGGGCUGUUCUAGAAAGCGAGUAGCAAAUAGAACGCGACAGACGGAGAGACUGGAAGAAAGCAUAGCGACUAGCAGAGACGUAAUAGCGACGUACGAAAGCAUAGUACUUCAGGGCAAACCACGGUCCGGACAUCCGCACCACUACGAUCCUACAUAGCCACCGAAUUCGUGGCCUUCACCUUCGCCAGUUCGUCCAGAAGCCUCGCCCGCUCAUUGAGGAGCGCAAGCGUGUACUCCGUCGUCGGAGCGUUGUGCGGCGUGAUGAUCCUGUGUGAUCCACUGCCAGAACGGGCGUGUGGUUGGGCAUGGGGGGACGGGUGCCGCUGCGACGGCGAUGCGGACAGCCCAGAGUAUGACUUGGCCCGAUGAUAGGUGGAUGCGGACAACGGUGCGCUGGGCGGGGAGCGUCGCUCGUAGUAGAACUGCAGCUCUGAAUGUUCAUCUGCUUUGUCUAUCCACCCAUCGUAGCGGAAGGGGAGAGGAGUUUUCGCGGGAGGUGGUAAGUCGGCGUCGCCCUCGUCAUGCUCGUCCAUAGUCGCGCAAUGGCAUACGGAGGUAGCAGUUGAUGCAUCGAGUUCGCUGUCGAGGAUGAACGACGGAUCUUCGACUUCAUGGAUGCAGCGUGGUGGCGGUCGCCUUGAGCUUGUUGAAGACGCGCUGUGGCGGAGGGCAGGGGUAGGAGCGGGCGGCAGCGAGGGCAAUUCGGGAAGUGUUUGGGUGAGGGAUGUGAGCUGCUCCGACGCGAAGGAUGACAUACUCGUGUCGGAUUCAGCCACGCCGGUCUGCAUCAUCGACAAAUUCGAGUGCAUACCACUGGUGACGGUGGAGUGGGUGUCCGGGGAAGUCGCCCGGCGGUGCGCGUUGGGUGGUAAGGAUGGAGGUAGGUCGUUCUCGGACUGCGAGGGACCUGCCAGAAGACCCUUCCGCCUCCCAAGCCAACAGAGGAGCUCACCAAUGAACUCAACCUCCUCCUCCUCUCCGGCCGCGAGCCGACGCGGGUCAAUCUCGCUUAGCCCCACGUCCUCGCCCCCAAGUGCAUCACUCUCGAAUACUCCGAGGAAGAUCUUCAUCGCUUGAACCUUAUUCGUGAAGUCGCGCGACGCACGGAUUGUGGGAGAAAUAGGAAGGCGCCACUGCAGAAUGGAUUCCAGGAUACCAAGGAGCAGGCCAGGUGUUAGGUCCCAUGGCGUCUCCAGAGCGAAAGGCAAGGAGAUGCUCAGCUUGUCGACGAGUUCGUUCAGACUAUCCACGAGAUCAGGACUGCGAUGUGCAUCAGCAUAUGAUUCUGGGCGUAAGUUAUCCAUGCUACCCAGAGCAGAAGAUGUCGACGGAGUGAGACGAUGGGUGCAGACUGUGCAGUCACUGCGGUAGGAAACUGAAGACAGGCGCUUUGGUCCACGAGGCGGAUCGUGUCUUGUUUGGCCGUAUUAUGCAAGAGCCUCUGAUCCUAACACGACCAAACACCCUCUCACCUGAAGAACUUCAACAUAGGACGUCACGAGUAUCGUCACACCAGAUGUCGUUUAAUCUGUCCUUAAUUAGAGCUAACCCCAUACCACAUAUGAAUGCCAUACAUUACAUGACAGGGAAUACCGCCCCUUUUGGUCUGUGGGCAGCACAUGCGGGGGUACACACCAUUGGACGAGUAUCUCCGAGGAUCUACCGCCAUCAGCUCCUUGCGUUAUUGCGGCGUACGUAGUUGAGGCUGCUGCAGAUUUGAGGGAAAAAAUUGGUAAUAAUAAGUAAGGGCCCGUUCGGCGCGGGUCUAUUAAGGGUAAUGGACUCCAUUAGAUUAACUCUCCAUGGAACAAAAAUUAAGCGCCUCAUAAUCCAACCCGUGAGAAGUUGUCUUCCUGUGGGCGCUCGUGCCCCGUCUGUGGUGGAUCCGUCUCCUGCUGUUGGUCUCUCUCUGCCGCAUAAACAUACCCCGGGGUACCAGAAAGCUUUGGAGAUCACUCGAAAUCCUUUCCCAAACUACCAUUCAAUUUUUGGUAGGGAGUAUUGAUGGGGAAGGGAUGGUAUAGAGGCAUUCGACUGUCAAUAGACUCGCGUUCGAUUUGCCUGAUGGAGGUAUUAAUGGAGGCGACGCCGAACACAAGGUCUGUUAGGUGAACGUCAAGUCGACCUUAUCGUAAUCUAAUGGAGUCUAUUACGGGUAAUAGACCUGCGCCGAACAGGCCCUAACAUGCCGUAUGCCGUCACUUUUCGCUUUUCGGAGGCUUGCUAGAGGCUGGUAUGAGCAUGUUGUCAAUGAUCAGCGCGGGUCUUCGUAGACAUUCCAAACUUUGAUAUCCGGCUCGUACGCGUUGUUAUUGAAUUAAGUGCACUUGAAGUGUGAUUUGAAGCUAGAGACAGCCUCCCGGCAAUGUUCACAUUUUUGAGCUAUUGAGAGAUAGUACGAUUUGCAGCGAUGCCAAUCCUUCGUGACAACUAGGGUCCAGAGGAUCCGGUCCACCAUGAGCAAUUCACAUGUUUUUCAUAUGAAGGAGUUACUAGUCAUAAGGUAGUCCCGAAGGUAAGUCUGCACUUAUAUGAGUUCAUUUGUGUGUUGAGGAGAAGACAAGGUGGUAAGCGCGCAACAUGAGAGCUGGGCGUCUUUUAUCUUCCAGUGUGGGAAGAAGCACCCCACUUUGGGUCCAGCGAGUUGUGUUUUGCACACUUGCUUGUCCGUCAUCAUAUGCGCACCCGCCCUCUUUUACUUGCAGCUUCCAUGGACAGUUCCCGUUGCCGUCUGAGGCUGCGCUCGCAACUCCGACUCGACUGAUGAAGGUGAUUUGCGUGCGAUUUGCAUGUGCUGUAGUCGUCGUGCGAGGCAAGUAAUGGUAUCAUAUGGAUUCUGCGUCGUCGGGCAUCACUGUGACUGUCUUACUGACGUCCGCCUGACCAGCUCUCUAUCUAUGGCCUCCAUGUGCAAGCGCUCCACUAGCACUCUCUGCCACCCGGCCAUGUCGUCACGCGUCUGCUCACUUGCGAGCAAGCAUCAAAGCGAAGCCCGUGAAUUCUCUUCCAAGUAGCGCUGGGUUCCAUUAUAUAUCCAGACGACGUUGAAAGAAAUUCAGCUCUGCGGCCAUUCCCCCAACCCUAGUCCCUUUCUCGUCUGAUUUACGACCGGCUGCGAUGCGUCUCUCGCUCCUCACAUCUUUAGCCGCCCUCGCGGUCAGCUCGUACGCUCAGUCUCCUUCGGCCGAUGCUUACGUCGCGUCUGAGUCUCCAGCUGCAAAAGCUGGCCUCCUCGCCAACAUAGGUCCAAACGGCUCCAAGGCCAGUGGUGCAAAGGUGAGCACCGCGCUCAGUCAGACCGUUGUACAGAAGUCGGAUUUUCGUUGCCUCCGAGCUUCCCUUCCAUGUGCACGUUGCGUAAAACUCUGACACAUGACCGUGUGUGCGCGUCUUAUUGACAGGCGGGAAUUGUAAUUGCCAGCCCGAGCACGUCGAACCCAAAUUACCUCUAUACAUGGGUCCGCGACUCGUCCCUCGUGUUCAAGACCAUCAUUGACCAGUUCACGACCGGCGAAGACAAAUCGCUUCGUGGUCUGAUCGACGAGUUCACCACCGCCGAGGCUGGCCUCCAACAAGUGUCUAAUCCCUCCGGUUCGGUCAGCACCGGCGGUCUCGGAGAACCCAAGUUCAAUAUCGACGCAACCGCCUUCACUGGCGCGUGGGGCCGCCCUCAGCGCGGUAGGUAUUACGAGUGCUACGCUUGUCCAACGACUCCUACCAUGCUCAUUGUUGAUGCCUCGUGCUCAGAUGGUCCUGCUCUCCGAUCAACCGCACUUAUCACAUAUGCCAACUGGCUCCUCGCGAACGGCAAUGGCACCUCCUACGUUCAGAACACGUUGUGGCCCAGUAUCAAGCUCGAUUUGGACUAUGUCCAGAACAACUGGAACCAGUCAACGUGUGUUCCCUUGAAACUCUAGGUUUAUGCCCCAUGGCUGACACUCGGCGGCGCAUAGCUUCGACCUUUGGGAAGAGAUCAACUCGUCGUCCUUCUUCACCACCGCGGUGCAGCAUCGCGCCCUCCGCGAGGGUGCGGCAUUCGCCAAGACGGUUGGUCAAUCUUCGGUUGCCGAUGGGUACACGACGCAGGCGGACAACCUUCUCUGCUUCCUCCAGGUAAGCUCCCAGCCAUGUGUACGGUCACGGGCUGUGGUGUUGACCUGCUUCCCACCAGUCGUACUGGAACUCCAAUGCGGGCUACGUGACUUCGAAUACGGGAGGCGGUCGCUCCGGCAAGGACUCCAACUCCGUUCUCGCCUCGAUCCACACAUUCGAUGUCGAUGCCGGCUGCGAUGCUGCAACGUUCCAGCCGUGCUCGGACAAGGCGCUCUCUAACCUUAAGGUCUAUGUUGAUUCGUUCCGGUCUGUAUACAGCAUCAACAAUGGUAUCGCCGGCAACGCUGCCGUAGCGGUUGGCCGCUACCCUGAAGACGUUUACUUCAACGGCAACGUGGGUUCAUCUUUAAACCUACCAUCACCACCUUUCCGACUAACUUUGACCUUCUGACGCAGCCUUGGUACCUCUCUGUGUUCGCGGUCGCCGAGCAACUCUACGAUGCCCUCAUCACUUGGAACAAGCAAGGCUCGCUCGACGUGACGUCCACCUCGCUUGCCUUCUUCAAGCAGUUUGACUCCUCUGUCGCUAUCGGCACCUACACAUCGUCCUCCUCGACCUACAGCUCGCUCACCUCAGGCAUUAAGACCUUUGCGGACGGCUUCCUCGAGAUUAACGCCAAGUACACGCCCUCGAACGGCGGGCUCUCCGAGCAGUUCGACAAGAGCUCCGGCUCGCCCCUCUCCGCGGCCGAUCUCACCUGGAGCUAUGCCUCCGCGCUCACCGCCUUCGCCGCACGCUCCGGCAAGACCUACGCGAGCUGGGGCGCGUCCGGGCUGACCAUCCCCAGCCAGUGCAACGGCAACGCGGGCCCGACCGUGUCCGUGACGUUCAACGUGCAAGCAACGACCGUCCUCGGGGAGAACAUCUACAUCACCGGCAACACCGCCGCGCUGCAGAACUGGUCCCCAGACACCGCGCUCCUCCUGUCUGCCGCGAACUACCCAACGUGGAGCAUCACGGUGACGCUCCCCGCGUCGACCGUUGUCGAGUACAAAUAUAUCCGCAAAAACAACGGCCAGGUCACGUGGGAGUCGGAUCCGAACAACUCGAUCACUACGCCCGGCAGUGGGUCGUUCACUCAGAACGACACAUGGCGGUGACCAGUGGGGUGGAGUCCGGAUACUUUGGGUGGAGGUGGUACCUCGUGUGUAUAUUUCGUCCUCGGGCGCUCGACGGAGUGGUGGAAGCAAACCGGCCUACUUAGCUACUAACACGAUGAUCAGUUCAUUUGAUGCUUAGUCUAUAAUUGGUGCCACUAAACGGAAUGUAAAAAGGUGUCUCGCUGGCCGCUUGCCGUCGACUUUGAGGACCACGGCGUCGUUACAAUCCUUUCAUGCCUCUGCAUGUCCCAUCUCAGUGGACGCCUAGCCAAGUCUCAGGUGUAGUGUGGCAAUGAUACCUCGCAUCCAGCAACGGAUUGGGGUCAUACAGACUCUAGCGGUACGUGGCCGAACCCUUCGCGUGCAGCAUUCUUCGAACCUGACCAGAACGCGCUGUUCAUCAUAUCCCAACGCUGGUGGUCACGUUCCCCAGACAGAGACACCAUCGUUCCGUGACAAGCAUCCGUGAUACGUCGUCCCUUCGACAGACGUGUGAGUAUCGUUGUCGAUCGCGUCUCGGCCAUCCCAUAUCCACGGGCACAGUAUUAGCAGUUAAUCAUUUGGCGUGCGCCGCAUUGUGAACACUUUGACUGCAGGUAUAGUAUCGCACACAUCAUCCAUUUGUGAGGGCCGUCCAACUUUAUCAAGUGUUUCACCUUCGGCGGUCUCAAACGGGGUGUGCUUCUACCCGUUUUGCUACCGGCUCCUUCUACGGCUGGGCCUGUACUUGCUACUGCCGAUGUCAAGAAGACCCGCAGUCGUCGGGCAGAAUUCGAUGGGUCGAAUGAUAUCAUGUCCGUGUCUCCCUCAAGUAGGGGUCCCGCAGGAUAGCGGAAGGACAGUAGGGCUGGUUUCCGACUCCUUUGUCUUCCUGUUUAAACGGCCGAUUUCAUAUCUGCUCUUCGUCUGAUAUGUUGCUUCAACCGGACAUGGGCAGGUUUAUCACGCUGCAAGAUGCUUAGUAAGUGUUCUGAGAAUAGUAUGCACAAGGGGGGCUCAUGUACAUAUAACUCUAGCUUCACAGGAAACUUGAUAACUGUAGGCAUUGCUGGUAUGUAUGCGUGCAUGCAGACUACUCCGCGAUUCGGGAUUUACGUUCAACAGCCUUGGUUGGCUACGACUACCUUCUCACCAUCCGGCGAGAAGCGCGUCUAUUUUGGAACCGCAGGAUGAACGCGGCCACAAUCCUGUUCUUUGCGAACCGUUAUCUUGCUCUGGCCUACUACGUGGUACUCGCCUACUACCGAUGCCUCUCGCUGCCGUACUUCGUAAGUCGUAUCGCUUAUAAGGUCCUGUCAUCACCGCUGAUUCAACGGUUGCAGGAGUAGGUUGACGUGGCGAAUAUCGGCAUGAAUGAACUUGGAUACUGACAUUGAGAUAGUUGCCAGGUGCAAUAUUAUGUUGACUGCGGUUUAAGACAUUUGCAAUACGUUCCUUGGGCAGGUCAGUUCAUGUUAAAUCCGUAUGUAAAGGGAACUCGUACUGACCUUGUAUAACGAGGGCAGUGUUUUCGGCAUUGCGCGUAUAUGCUCUCAGUCAACGAAAUUGGCUUGUGACCGCAGCCGCUUUCUUUUGGUCCGUGCUCGCCUUCCCCCUUGAAUACUACGUAAGUCGUGAUGUAUCUACAAUCUUCCCGUUUGCUCCAUACAAUGAUCCCAAAUUAGGGCGACUUUCACCUUGUCUCCUUCGUCGACGAUCUGGUCCUAGGCUGUAUGCCAACAGCGACGAAACUCACUUUCCUCAAUCUACUGUAAGUCAGCGUAUGCUUUUCGAUUUUAUCACGCGUUGACCACGAUUUCAGCGGCGAGUCCUGUCAUGCAUCGGCCGAAGCCUUGUCUCCUCACUCACGCUCAUCCACAGGCAUCAGUUUCAUUCGCGGGGGUCAGGUCAUUGCCGAUGCCAUCGUGAUCGGAGUUACCUGGAAAGCUACUCGCCAUGUGUAUAGAGAAGGGACAACGUGUUUCCUGACGAGGGUGAUGUACAGAAACAGUAAGGUCAUUUCGAUGUGCAGCCGGAUCCGCUUCGUGCUAACGUGAAAAUAGGCAACCUGUACUUUGUGUGAGCAUCUCGUACUCAUUUCACCACAUAUACUUAUUAACGGUCACAGUACACUACUGGUGCUGAAUCUCCUGCAUAUCCUGUUCACCUUCCUCCCGGUGCGGCCAACCUAGCCCCCUCAACAUCCCACUUUCGAUGCUUAUCGAACAUUUCAGAACUCCUUCUUGCACAUACCGUUCACGAACACGUCUUACGUGACUAGGUUUGCAGAGCCGUUAAGUCCCUCUCCCUCGCCCACGUGGACUUGUGCUCACGCAUUGUUUUCUAGCAUCACAUCGAUUCUCAUCUCCCACUUCACCCUCGAUCUCCAUGACACUCACCGAAGGACGGUCCAUCAAAGCGGCUCGACUGGCAUUCAAAUCAUGCGUUCUGAUAUCGGUGGAGGGUGCUCGAGAGAUUCUGUAUCCAUGGAAAUGGAAGAGUGGUCAGUCAGUUUCGAUGCUUUGUGUGAUACCGAGCUGGGCUAGCGGUGCGCGGUGAGUCAUGUCAUUCAUCACGAUGGGGCCUUAUCUAAUCCUUGACAGGUAGGUGGCACAUGGUUUCGUGUAACAGUAGACAUCUAGUUGCGUUUGGUUGCGAUUUUACUGUCAUGCUCAUGCAGGCCAUACCCCUGCGAUUCCAAUACCCACGCAUGGUCGGCUCAACGUGGGUGACCUGGUUGGGGGGCUGACACAGAAACCUUUCGAGGAAUCCUGCCAACUCACCUAGUGCUUCUCAAUUGAGCAGACAGUCGACCAUGGAAACGCCUCAGUCACCCCUAAAACAGCCCUCGUAAGCCGUCGCAGGCGACGCGCCAAGAUGUUUCCUACCUUGCGCUCAUGCUGCCAACCAAGGAGCAUUUAAAGGGGAAUCGGUCCGCUGAGGGGUAUGGUCUGCGUCGUGAUCCAUCACACACCAGCGUGGAGACUGACUGAGCUGUGAGCUGUGUGGUUGACGAGGCAUAGAAGCUGUCGGCGACUUGCCAUGAGUAGAGGCAAUUACGGCGCGGAAUCCACAUUAUGUCGUUACCUCGACAGGCAAUAUCAACAACACGGCCCUCCUUACGUCCAACACGUCACGAUCUACUCUUCGCCAUCUUCAACCCGCUAUCCGCCUUUCCAUAGCUGCAUGCGUACUCCAGAUAUAGUACGUACGCAUGGUACAGGUGCAUUUCUUCACGAUCUACAUACGUCCCUGGUACUGCCAUGAUAUCUUUAUCCCUCUACAGAAUGGCUUGUGAGUGAUUCUAUUCGUUUCUCCUCCUAUCACUUUCUAUAGGGAUGACUUAAUUCGCUCUAUCCGCCUUUGCCGGUGUCGAAGAACCUGAUGCGUCAAGUGAUCUCGGCCAUUGGGUCCUCAUAAGGAGGAGUCAAGCUAGCGUUCUUUAGCAGCGCUGGCUCGCGCUACCAGAGACCUCCGCACCCCUUCAGUUGCCCUGGACCUUACUCUCCCUUCGUCCUACUGGGCACUAUGGUUCCUACUGAUGGCGAUACAACCAGGAUCAUUACUAUCAAAGACUCCAUGCAAGUGUCUCCCAGACCAUCGUACUCUGCAUAGCAUUAACUUAGGUGUAUGGUUCUAGUCUCACAGAGAACCUUAUGACCGUGGGCGUUGCGGGUAAGUACAUGCGCUUUCAGACUGCGACCGGGGUACUAAGGUGCGGUAUUGAUGCUUGGCAGCCUUGAUCGGCUACGACUACCUCCUCACCAUCCGGAGGGAAUCGCGUCUGUUUUGGAAAAGGAGAGUAAAUGCUGCGUCAAUCCUGUUUUUCAUGAACCGCUACCUCGCGCUGGUCUACUAUGUCGGCCUCGCGUACUACAGAUGUUUAUUGUUGCCGUAUCCAGUGAGUCUCCUUUGCCUCUCUCAGAAUUUCCUAAGUAUCCUAGUCCUGACCGUUGGUCACAGGAGUAAGUAGUUCCAACGACGCUCAGUUUCAGAUUUCCAACCGAUAUUGGGGCCAAGUUGCCAGGCGCAAUACUACGUCGACUCUGGUCUCAGAUACUUGGAAUACCUUCCUUGGGCAGGUCGGUCUGCUACAUAAUUAUCUGUGCGACUCGUGUUGAUCUCCUAUGUCGAGCGCAGUGUUUUCCGCCUUGCGUGUAUACGCACUCAGCCAGCGGAGCCGGUUUCUGAGUGCGUUUACCUUCUUUUGGGCCGUCCUCGCGUUUCCCGUGGACUACUAUGUACGUCUCCGGUUACACCAACUUCCCCUCCACUCCACAUCGCUAAUACCGAAUUAGGGUGACUUCCACCACACAUAUUUCGUCGACGAUCCGGUCCUGGGCUGCACGUCGGGGGCGAGUACGCCAUCAUUUCUUAGUCUGCUGUAAGCCACUACGUCUUCUCGACACGAGCAUGGCUGACGGGUUUUCCAGCGGUCCGUACUUCCCCAACGCCAAGGUAUCCCGGUUCUGACCUUAGUCUGAUGUCUAGGCACAAUCUUCAUUCGAGGGGGUCAAAUCAUCGCGGACGCUGUCGUUAUCGGGGUCACCUGGAGGGCGACCUACCACGCGCGCAGUGAAGGGUCCAUGUCCUUCCUGACGAGAGUCAUGUUCAGAAACGGUGCGUUUCCUACAGCCAGUCCCAUCUCAGUUUCUGAUGUGCGUUAUAGGUACUACGUACUUCGUGUGAGUCGCUCGCCCUCGUUGUAUCUACGCAUACAGGGGUUGACCAGCACGGCAGCAUCCUCCUGGUUCUGAACAUCGUCCACACCCUGUCUAUCUUCCUCCCGGUAAGGCACGCCUGCGCUCUCAUACAACGCCUGCGUCCUCAUACAAAUCUCCAGACGUUCUUCCUACACAUUCCGUACACAAACACGUCAUAUGUGACCAAGUUCUCGGAGCCGUUGAGUGCUUUCCUCCAUUCGCGUAGAUCGGUGCUCACCGUACACAUUGCAGCAUCACCGCGAUUCUGAUCUCCCGCUUCAUCCUCGACCUCCACGAGACCAACCGGGCAACAUCGCAGCGGGACGACUUGUCCGGCAUGGAACUCAUGGGCACUGAUAUUAGUAGCCGACCGGGUCCCGGGAGCUCAGUAUCCAAGGAAGUGGAUGAGUGGGCAGUCGGUCCAAAUCCUUGGCGCGACACCCAGUCGGCAUGAUGCCCAGAAUCCCAAGUGUGUGCGUGGUCGCGCUCCUGAUCCCACUAGCGUAUGUGGAAUGUGCUGUAGGGUAUGUAUGUCAUGGUCCACGGUGCCAGGAAGCUAUGUGCACAGGUAUGACCGUAGUAAAUGAUGAUAGCGUGCUCUAAAUAUGUAAGAUAAUCCAAAGGCCGUUCCACAAUAGUCUACACACGAACGGACCAUCCGUAGAUCCAUUACCUCCCUCUAAAUCAACGACCAUCCCUCAGAAGUACUUGUCCCAGAAACCCUUCGUGCCGUUCGUCGCCGCCGCGUGCUCCUCGAUGCCGAGCAGCUUCAUCAUGAGGUUGUACACCUGCACGUUCUCGAACGUCUCCAUCACGUAUGCGUCGUCCGCCGUCGAGUGCCACCCCUUGUUCGGCCGCGCGAGGGCGGCGUCGCGCCCGAAGAGCGACGCCGCGAACCGCCGUGCGGGCGACGCCGCUGCCGCCUGGAUGCGGUCCGCCUCGAUCGCCUUCACGACGGCGGAGAACGGCCCGUGCGCGACGAACAUCGCGUGCAUCUCCUUGUACUCGUUGUCGUAGCCAUGGCUCUGUAGACGCGGGGGUGUCAGUUCAGGGACGUGGGAUGAGGUGGAAGGACGAUGAAGCAGGGUGAGCUACGUACCCCCUUGUUCAUGCCCGAGCCGUUCUCUUCGCGGUUCGUGAGCGCGUAGCCGAUGCGCGGCACGACGUAGACGGGCGCGAUGCGCUGGUUCUGCGUGAAGUGCCAGCGCGCCGGCAUCGUCGCAUGCGUGUACACGUCGAACUUGCCGCCGCUCAUGCGCGACGCGUUCCGGAGCACGUUGAAGUACUUGUCCGUGUUCUCGGGGGUGUCGAAGCGGAGGCCCAUCGCCGGCCAGCCGUCCUCGUGCGCGAUGUGCGCGUAGCCGUCGCCGAGGAGGUCGUCGAUGAAGAUGAGUUCGGGGUGGCUCGUGUCCGUCAUGCCGUGGUCGCUGACGAAGACGAUGUCGACAAUGUCGGUCAGGUUGCGCGCCUCAAUCUCGUCAUGGAGGUCGCGUGCAAAGACAUCGACUUGCUUUAGGACUUUCUGCAGACGUUGACCCAGUCAGCACUAUAGGAGUAUGCGGCAGAAGACACUGACAUUGACGAGCUUAGAGGUGGGGCCAGUAAGAUGACCCGCCUGAUCGAGAGAAGGCUCGUAUGCUAGAAAUUAUCGUGAUCAAUGUAUGAAAAUGCGUGCCAGUCCGGUGUCAGACAAACCCAUUAUAAACUGAGGACGCGUCUCGAUAGGCAUGUCUAUCCAGCUCAGGAUUUGGUCGAGCUUCUCUUGCAGAGGAACGUGGUCCUUCAUCACAUGAUUCGGGAUAAGCCAAGGGUAUGCCGGACAAAGAUUGUAACACACCUUCCAAGGUACAAAGUACGUCGGAGAAGCACCGCUCGUGGUCUUGGGUGGCCCUGGCCUGUACCAGGUUAGGCAAAAUCUGAAACGCCAGGUAACGUUCACUGUAACAUACCACAUGAGGUUUGCACUUCUUACACCCGCCUUCUCCGCCGUCUCCCACAUCUAUACACGGGAAGACGUGAACAGGGUAGUCUAAAAUUAAGUCGUGAAAACGUACCGGUUCGCCGUACCACCAUUCCGAGACCCAUGCAGAUUCGAUGCGGUUGUAGUGGAAUUCACGAUGGGUAGCUGGAUCCCAGAAGUUCUGUGCGAGAUGUCAGGUUCGGUAAUCAAUAAGAGUGAAGAAGCGACAUACAUUGGCAACGAUUCCAUGAGACUCCGCAUAUAAACCAGUCCUGAGAGAUUGUGAGUGUAUGCGUCGAACAAUUGAUGUGGGGUGACGUACAUUAAGGCCCAGUGGUUACUUCCAACGCAUUCAAAGUCAAUUCAGGAGGUAGAAGAUAUCAUGCAUAGAACAACGUACGGAAACGUGAGCGUCUGCCAUAAAGAAGUUAGUACGAAUCGCCCACAGUAGAAGCAGCAGACAUACCGGAAAGACUGGUUGCAUGGACUUUGCUCGAAGUCCAUCCUUACUGAUUGCCAGCAGGUGGGGAGUCAAGCCACGGUCCAAAUAGUCCGCCCUACGACGCAGCGUUUGCUACGUCUCUUCACCAGAGGACGGUAUGUAAGACGUACCGUAGACCGUCGAUAGAAACAAUGAUUGCCGUCUUCUUGAAGUCAUGCGUGCCAUUACUAAGUAAACCUUGCGUCUUCAGCUGUGGCCUCGUGCCAGUCUCGCGAGGGCCCGAGAGGAAUUGUCGGAUGGGAAUGGCGAUCGUGAGCAAGAGGAAGGAAAAGAAGAGCCCAGUGAUCACAAGGCAUUUCCGCGACCUGGUGGGGGCCUGAAGCAUGACAUUCUCCUCUGCAUCGUAAUGAUCAUCUUCCGAUCGUCGCUCCUCGGGGGAUAUUAGUGCUUUGCGUUCGUCAUCGUCCACCGACUGGCGAGUAGAGUUUGUGGGAAGCUUAAGCUCGGAGUACUCCGGCUUCAUGUCGAAGGAAGUCAAGGGCCGAGUCGUCCGGGUGGCAACCGAGGGAGGAAAGCCGAGACCCACCUGCAGGUGCACUCGAUACGCCUGAGACAAGAAUGAAAACCCAAGGAGGAGGGAGCAGAGACAGGAACUGGAGACGACUGUAAUCGAGUGGUAGGCUAGGUCAGUCCAGUGGAGGAUGCCCGCUACUCGUCGUAUUUGGUAAGUCCGCUGUCGUUACGUAACUCAGCCUCAUUAGCCGCGCCCUGUUUGUGGCCACGUGCUAGCGAACCUCGCGUCCAGGGCGGCCGCCAUCUUAAAUCCUCUUGUCGCCAGUACUACGUGAAGUAGGUUAUUAUGUUUUUAGAGUGUUCGUUUUAUGUAAUAGCGUCCUUGCUGCCUCGAGCAGACUUUCAGAGUUUCAUCCACGGGUUCCGAACCGUGUUCGACUUCAACCUCGGACUCGAACACUCCGCCGCCACCUAAACACUGCACGCUUCAUGCGUUCAAUGCCAAAAGUCAUCCGUUUGUACACUCUACAUGUAUAAUCAGUCAUAAAUAUCCUGUUCUAUGGUGGAGUAUGUUCUCUUCGUCGGAUGCCUUGCUGACGCUACCCCGAUGAGAGAGGAUGUGGCAUUAGAUCCCGCUACUUACUCCUCUUCAGGGGGAAAUACAGGGGAUCCAUAUAGGAUCGUUCAUAUUGUCCGCGAUGAAGCUCGACAGGAGAGCUUUCUACCAUUCCCAAGCUUAGUCUCUCGCUCAGCUCACUCUUAUCAAUUCAAUUAUCUUAACAUCCUUCUCGAAUCCCACGCAGUGAGUCCCAUUGCCCAUUUGCUGCUUCCAAUGCUCAAAAUAUCGUCUCUUUUCGCUCUCUUCUUCUAGUGAGCGUUUCAUCCGUCUUCGCGACUCAAUGCGCUAGAGAAGCAUCGGCCGCAUUCACAACGCCAAAACCUCUGUCCGCUGAGGAAGCCGCGAAUUUGCUCUCCCCCUUGCUUCCAUCCCCGCUCUCCGAGGACGAGAUCGGUCUCUUUUUUUACGGCUUGCCCUCUACACCUCAACUUAUCGCUCGCACGGGUGCCCCAUGGAAGAGACCUCCCCCGGGCCCUUAUGACUACCCAUAUGCCAGAGAACUUCGGGCAGUAGGCGAACACGCCAUCGCUGCCCCGGGAGUCUGGGAGAACAAAGUAGGACCCGCGCUCCUCAACGUCCUCGACGAGGAGGAGGUCAAGUGGGAAACUAUCGACGUCCAUCGCAUUCACUAUGUCGAACUCGAUGACGCGGCUCCCUUCCCGGUCGUCGUCUGUAUCGGGGUUCAGCUUGGUGCCCUUUCCGGAGAGGAAGGUGCUCCUGUGGCCAAACGGUGCCAGCAGGUUCUCGACAGCUUCGGCCUCGACGACCUAGAGGUCGCCAUCAAAGUGUCGAACCGCUUCCAAUCGGUCGCUCCCGCGCCCGCAUUUGAAGAGGCUCCGGGUUCGGCGAGCUGGUUCCAGCCUGUUGGCCCCCUUGCCAAGCUCCACAUGCCUUUCACCUCCUUUGUCGGCUUCCCGCUUUCCAGCGAGGCUCACCCUACCGUUGAAGGUAGUGGUGGAUUCUUCUUUAUCAAUGGCAGCGACACCUCCAAAGUCUACCUCCUCACCGCCCGCCAUGUGGUCAUCAAGGCCACCACCCGGGACAAGAACACUGUCUACGAUUACAAGUCUGCCAGCAAACCCCGCCGGCAAAACGUCACCGUAUUCAGCGGCACGGGCAUCGCAGAGCACAUGGAAUCCAUCCGGAUUGAGAUUGGGAAUCAGUCCCGCGAAAUAGACGUCUUCCAGGAUUGGAUCGAUGAGCAGCAGGAUAAGGUCGACAAGACGCAGGGGAAAGACGCGGACGCAGUUAGAAAGCUCAGAGAAACCCAGGGCUUGCUCGAGGAGGGGCUCAAAAGGUCGAAAGACCUCGAGAAACGCUACGAGGAUGUCGCCAAGCUGUACCUCUCCAACCUCGGCCGCACACUCGGCUUCGUCAGCUACUCUCCGCCCGUCGGUUUCUCCCUCGGCGAGCACAAGUAUACGGAGGAUGUGGCCAUCAUCGAGGUCGAUGCCGACAAGAUCAACGCCGACACCUUCCGCCCCAAUGUCCUGGCCUUGAACGUCAAGUUUGAAUCCAAGCCGAUGGUAGUUCUGAGCAGGAUGUUGCGUCCGUACAAGGAUCGCGGCCUUUCACCGUCACUGUAUCCAUCAGGCCGCCUCCUCCAGCUCUCCGGCAUCCUUCCCGACUCAGAUCUUCGAGAGGCGAAAGGGAAGGACACCAAUGGCGGCCGGGGGGGCAUCACUGUGCUCAAGCGAGGCUGGACAAGCGGCCUCACCCUCGGCCUUGUCAAUAAUGUGCCUUCCUACACCAAGACCUACUGGGAGGACGGCACCUCCGACGUCUCCAUGGAGUGGCCCAUCUUCAACUACCUCUACGACGACAACACGCCCGUGGCCUUCUCCAGACCAGGAGAUUCUGGCUCGGUCGUCGUCGAUGGCAUGGGUCGUAUUGCCGGAAUCAUCACAAGCGGCUCUGGGUACUGCCACACGGUGAACGGGAUUUGCAUCACGACGGCCGUGGCGGACGUGACUUACAUGACGGCCGCCGAGUUCAUUCGCGACCAAAUGCGCACCCGCGGUAUCGACAUGAACGUCGACUUCACCCUCGCUUAGGACGGUGGGAACUUCCCACCACGCUUGUCCCAUUAUCAGCGGCUCGGACUGAAGCCCCCAAGAAGACUGUGCCUCGCGCGAGCAAUGUAUUGUGAGGGUUAACAGUCUAGAUACUGUUAGAAAGCUAAAGGAUAGUGACAUCGACGUAUUCCUCCUUUGAGGACAAGUAGUUUCUUGCCAAUAUUAUUUCGGGAAUACGCCAUCCGGCCACAAUUACAAUAGCACAUAUGAUACUAUACAACGCAGAACAUCUAGCUCGAUUCAUCACAUAUAUUUCUCUUCAUCCAUGUCGUCCCAGGGCCAGUGCUCCUCGGUCUCCGCCCGUUCCUCCGCCGACUCGGCCGCCGCCAACCCAACCGCCUUCAUCUGCCUGCUGCGCUGACGGGCCGGUGGCCGGCGUCUCCCUGGUAGUCGCGCCCUCACCCUUAGGGCCAGAUGCCGACGCUAUUUUGGCACAGUUUCAAAUCACGAACGGGUGGCCUCGAACGCCUGCAUGCUCCGCGCUUCCGACCAGGAAGACAUUAUCGUCUCCGAGCUCGAGAUCGAUAAGAGGCGAAUGCGGUUGUCUCCUACUAGAAAGCGUGAGGGAGACGUCGCCGAUAUCGUCUACAGGAGAGGUCAAGAGCGACGGAGCCGGCGCGGACGGUUCAGGCCGGAUGGGCUGUAGCCCGCAGGCGUCGCGAUCGAAGGACUGGAACGGAUGGCCGACGUAUCGCCAGUAGUCUGCUGCACUAGGGACGAGGUUCUGAGCAUGACUGGUGGCGUCGAAAGCGUGGCAGAAAGCCGACAUGGGAGGCUGACACGAGUGCGGAGAGGGAUGGUCGGGCCGAGGUUCCGAGUGGCCACAGCCCAGGGCAAUGUUGCAGGCGAGUAUAGGUGCGUUGGUGCCAGGCAAACCAUGCGAGUUCUUCGCCCCGGCGUGCACCAGACCGCUAGCCUCGAACUUCCCGGCUGUCAUUCAUUCUCGCACUCAACAACAGACGGCAAGGUAAGCGUACCUCUUGCAGAGGAGCCGGGAGGAUCUCUUCCAUCUGCCGCGAUCGAAUGAGCAAGCUGAGCUGAAGUGGGCGCCAUAAGGAAACAUGACUGGACGGACCAAGAACACUUCCUCCAGUGGCGCUGGGAUAAUCUCUUGCAUAUAUGCCGCACCCUGAAGCUUGACCGCGUGUCGGUGGGAAACUUGUCUUCGUUUGCUCCACACUCGGUAUGCCUGUUUAUGAACAGUCAGCUUCGAUCUCAACAGCAAGAAACCUAUGCACUGACCUGAACUGCGGGGCGGCGAGCAGGUCUGCGCCUCUUGUGAGUUGCCUUGGUGUCGCGCUCCUCGGGCGGCCAGGCGGCGCUGCGGCUUGUAGCAGGGGGCUGGAAGGCUUUCGUUGGUACCCCGGGCAGAAUAGAAACGGUAACCUGCUUCGCUGAGUUCCUGGCUCCUGCGCGAACCAUAGCCGUGAAUGCACCAGGCCACCGAGUGAGCGGUGCAGAUUCGUAGGCGUACCCGGCCGCGACACGCGUCGAAGAGAGGAUGUCGAUCAUUCUGACGAUGUCGGUGAGGCGAGAGGGCUUCGGGCCAAUGUAAAUGGAUGAGUGCUUUUUAAUCAUGGCAGCAGCGGCCGACAAUGGUGGCGGUCAUGGCUAUCUAGUGUUGGUCAUGUUAGCCUCCUGAGCCCAGAACGUCUACCACAAAACAAGCUUCCAGCCCACCUUAUUCACAUCCAGCGUCUUCGUGACCAAGUGUAGGAUACAAGUUUCUCUGAGGCGUUGGCCCCAGCCUUUUCUGAAGGCGGACUGCGAUUCGGCACCGAGGAACAUGCGAUGUAUGUAUAUGUAAUCUCACAACUGAGGGCACAGGAAAACGCAACACCUACAAACCUAGACCUCGACGGUCGCCCCGAGAGUCAGCCCGCGACCGGUAGCCGUAAAAUCGACCAUCCCGCCUCCGAUCGGGUACCAUGUCUGCACCUCGUCAGCCUCAUCGUCGUCAGGGCAAGCGUACACCUCGUAGACCAGCGACACGGCGAUGGCGGUCAGACACGGGCGGGAGGGGCUGGGGGGACCCGUCGAGGAGGUGAUGUCUGCAGUAGGAAUGCCCGAAGGACGAACUGGAGUGAUAUGGAUGGGGUGAGAGCGAGGUGAACGGUCUGAUACGAAGCUUCCAGGAGGCGUAAGAGGCGUGCCGUCGCGGGGGAGUCUGGAGUGUGGAACGCGUCCGGAGAUCGCGGUAACGUCUUCAUUCACGGCUUCCACAGCUGGUUGCUUGUGCUCGCGGGCUUUACCAUCAACCGGUGCCGUGAUUGCAUGUGGCAAGUUGAAGAUGCUGGAGGUGCGGUGCGGGGCAGCUGCGAGCGAGAUGUUGGAGCCGUCAUCCGCUGGAAGUGAAGCCUGUACAGGGUCGUCCGCCAGCGUAAGCCUUCCCAUUCCUCUGACAAGGCCGUCCACCUCGAAGUCGCCGAUAGGUUGGGGAUGCAACGGGCAGCUCAAGCGUACGUUCUGGCGGAGGUUACGCAUCAACGUUGGGAGAAUAUUCGCGGGAGAAGCCCACCUUCUGCUUCUGCUUCUUUCUCUGGGGGCCUUUAACGACCUCAUGGCGCGACCUCUUAGAGUUCAAGCUGAACUAGAGCCACGAAUGAUGAGGGGCGAUUCGUAAUAGGAUAAAGCAAGUCACUCACCUUGUACGGGGAACCAAACGCCCUAGUAGGCGCUCGGAAGGGCUCUGCCUCACCGUAGACAGACGCGGUACCCGUGGUACUGCUGUUCAUGGGAUCGGGCGAGCUGGGUGUCUCCAGAUGGGCGACAGCAUCGAGGAAACGCAAGUGGGGCAGGAUCGCGCGUGCAGGAUGCUUGCAAUUGGGGUGAUUCGAUCCUUGGGGCAUGAAAGGCCUGUCAAUGUGCAUCAUUACCAAGAAGAGAACGCGGUUUCCUACCCAUGAUACCGCACGAGGGUACGACUCAACACCGCUAAACAGUCGUCUGCUGGGUUUCAGGCAACGUCAACGUCCGGGACAGCACACGGAUCGCACUGGCGGCUGAGCUGCGAGGUUGACAUACAGCUCGGGCCCAGAUCGGGACCAUCAAUGAGUUGACUAGGUCCGGUUGGUUCGAAGAUCCAGCCACAAUAUUGGGGAAAGCGUUCAUUAUUGGAUCAUAAUAAAGGUGAGCAUGAACUACGCUGGAAUUCCUAGACAUUUCGUCAAUAUUCCAAUCACAUGAGAUCAUACAACCAGAUGAUAUUCACCUACAGCCCAAGAACAGAAAACGCAAACAUUGCACCAAAGACCGCUGCCAGAACCAGACUACGACUAGUUUCCCCAGUUCUGGAACAGCCAUUAUUGCGAGUAGUCGUAGCAGAGGCGGUGGCGCUACCAAUAGAAGCAUUCGACGAGGAACUGCUGCUACUAGAUGAAGUCGGGGAAGCAGGAAUGGUGCCGACAACGCUCGUGCGGGUAAUUGUGGCGGGUGGUAUCCCUCCUGAGGUAGAAAGACUGGAAGGGAACACACUUGUAGAACUGAUGUCUGAAAAGUUAGCAUCGAGGAUUUGGAAUGUGCCACUAAGGUUGUUCACAUCGCCGAGCACUAACGUCGACGAAUGUUCAAUACAAACAUGUGCUUGUAAGGAGCGAUAACUCACAUGCAACGACAUAACGUUGGCCGCCAGGUAGAUUGAACGGACAGCGGACGUUCACUUUCCCGUCCUCGAGCGAUACGUUCGUCGCCAAGGGCUGGUCUACGAGAAUGAGCCACCCAAUGUCUGUGUCUUCAAAACACGUUAUAUAAAUGACAUACCUCUCCAGAGAAAGUCGGACCCAUCCGAGUUCAGAUAUCCCAAAAGAAUCGUCCCAUUCUGCCCCGCGAGAUCCAAGUCUUGAGUCAACCUGGUGCCAUCUAUGAGUAUACGGGACAAGCAUGCGGCAAACCUGCCAAAACUACGCAUACCAUUGGACAGUUUCCACCUGACCAACCGUCCACGCCGUUUGCGAGGUAGGUUGAAGGAUGGUUGGCGAGACAACGCGAGGAACAUGGACCGACAGGGCAUGAGCAGCAGCAAGAAAAAGGACCCAGGUGUAAGGGAUCAUGAUAAUGCCCUCCAAGUCGGUGGCAAUCGCAAGCCCCAAGUAUGGCGCGUCCACAGAGGUUGGACGGGGGAAUGACCUCGAAGCAUAUUGAGGCUGAUGUCGCUGUCGUUUUCAAAUGCGGGUAGGGCGCUGAUGGCGAGGAGACUGAAGCAGGACAUUGGACAAGCGCAACGCCGACGGCGGUCAUCCGGACAUCGCAUAUCCCAACGGGCGUCUAUGCCAGGCACCCGCCGGGUUCGGGCGAGUAAGCGUGCUCUUGUUCCUCGUAUUACGCCUACUCCUUAUAUGUGUGCUCGACGUCGUUUCUGAUAUGCUACUCUCGGGUUAUCCUUACAUUGCCCAGAACUCAGAGGAUGCCAUUAUCGGGAUCACGCAAGACAUAAGGAUCUAACACUCACGAAGAUAAGGUGAGCCUAGGCCUCGCCUGUAACUCUACCCUACAUUGCUCGCCUAUGCUGGACUGCGAAUGUCCCUUCAACGUCUUUGAAGGAACUAUUCUCGACCCUAUCACGCGUAUGCAACGCCUCAUCAGCGUACAGACAUGCCUAUCUUUGCUCGACUUCGGCAGAAGUUCGAUAACAGAAGGAGACAGGCCCGCCUGAUCAAGCUCCGCGCGGGACAAAUACUUAAGGGCGUGGUGCCUGCCUACCCCACACGCCGGCUUCUCGUCCGUGUCCCUGUCCUCGUCGACCACGACCUCCACGACCUCGGUCGCCCCCGCGGUGUGAACGACCUCGAGAGAGCCGAUUGUGCGAGUCCCGCCGUCGGAUCCUACGCACGAAACGUCCGCUCCUCCCCCGCUCCACUCGCGGUCCUGCUUCCUUGGGACUCGUGCUAGCCUUUAGGUCAACAUCAGGUCCACAUCGACGACGCCCUACCCGCCAUGCCUCUGCUCUCGACCAUCAUGCAGUUGGUUUGCCUCCUGCUCGCUUUCGCCUUCACUGUUCUGGCGAAGCCGCUCGCCUUCCGGCCCCGCGAUGCGAUAUCCCCACCCAUCACGAACCCAACCGCGAGUACAGUGUGGAAGGCCGGGGAUACACAGACCGUAGUAUGGUAAGCCCACCAGCAACCUGGCUUAGGGCAUCUGACGCGACGUCGACAUCGAACCCGCCAAACAGGGACCUGUCUGGCUUGAACGGCGCCCAGCCGUCGAACCCCAUAGGCAAGGUUAUUCUCGGCACUUUCAUUAACGGCGAGGAGCACCUUAUGCUCGGUACGUCCCCACAUGCUCCCCUUCGCUUUUGUUUCAUUCCGCGCCUCUUACGCUUAACGCCCCCGCAGAAUCGCCGCUCGCGUCCGGUUUCAACAUCCUCGACGGGAACGUCACCCUGACCGUCCCCACCGUCACAACGGGGAGCGACUACAUCGUCUGCCGUGCGUACCCCAUCCAUCCCAUCCCGAUCGCCCUUCCCGCAGAUCCUGCUCCACAGAAGCCGAAGCUCACACAUGACCCUCUACCCCCGCAGUGUUCGGCUCGUCCGGGGACAUCAGUGCUCCCUUCACGAUCAUCGGCACCGACGCGUCCGCAUCUACAUCCGCGUCCGCGUCCGCCUCCACGCAGCUCAACGCAGCGUCGAGCUCGAACACGCUGCCCCCGCACCAGACGACCGACCCCUCGACGACAUUCAGCCUGCCCCACGGCGUCCCGAUAACCGGAGACCCCUCCAGUGCCCCGGCCACCAGCGCGAGUGCCUCAGCCACCGGCUCGAGCUCGAGCUCAAGCUCGACCACCGCCGUAGUCUCCGUCCCCUCGGGCGUCGUCCCCCCAUCCGGGACGUCUGCCGCCUCAUCCACCGCGACUUCGCCCAGUGCUUCAGCAACGGGGACGGGUACGUCCUCGACCGGCACGGGCACGGGUACCGCCGCCGCUAGCACCAGCACCGGCAACUCAGGCGCGCGGACGGCUGUGACAAACGUUCACUUGUGGGGUGCCCUUUCCGGUGUAUUGGCCCUCUUCGCCUUCUUGUAAGCUUAGCUUGCUCUUUUGGACUACCGACCGCGACGAACUUUUGCAAUGUCUCCGACGUGCUUGUAUACUGUAUACCAGCUUUGUAUAAGUAGCUACGAGAUUCAAUACGACUAACGCCUUCUCACGUCCCCCCACCUCACCUCCACCGCGUUUCUGCCAUUCAGUCCCGCAUCUAACCCUUUUCGUCCCAUCCGACAUGACACGCACACGCACACACACAAGCAGCGAGUUCCGAAUGCAAACAAGCCAAAAUCCAUACAAUUGCGAAUCAAUAUGCAACAAUGCUACACGCGACAACCGACGGACAGAAACGUGCGCGCCGGCGGGGACAAUCCAAUACGAAAUCCGCAGGCCGCCGCUGGGUAUAACAGUCGAUCGAACACUUCCUCUCCAACCAAGUAGCUACACCAACAUUCUACGUGCCCGCCCUAAACAUUUGCAAGCUGGGCCGCCUCUGAAUAGAUUGCGCCGCGCCGCGCUACUGUGUCGCGCACGCGCACGCUACUUCUGCACGGCCCUGCGUAUGCCGUAAAUACAACGACCACCCCGUGCUGUGUCUGUCGAUCCUCCUCUUCUCUGCUCUUGUCUCGGCCGGCCGCCCACACUGUCGCAGGCGAGCCGGUGGCGCUAUGCGCUCUUCAAUGCGACGCGAUCCCAGAAAGUCGCCUGGUCUUCUCCGCCCCACGAGGGCUAUGAACCUCGAGAGGGCGGGCUUGGACGCUCGGAACUUGACGAAGAGAUCGCGCGCCGAAGCUGCCGUCGUCGUCGAAGCCGACUACCGCAGGCCUAGUCGGGACAACGCUUCUUGGACGCGAGCAUCGAACGCCAUCGUCGGGUUGCCGAGGCGUACUACAUCAAGAGCCUUCAUGAAGACUUCAGGGCCGAAUCGUUGCGCGGCCGGUAUCGAGGAGCACAAGUAUUGGGCUGUGUCCUCGUCUAGACAGGCAAGAAUAGAUAUUGGCGGUAGCGGGAGACGAGAGGAUAAGUUGAACAAGCAAUGAAGAGGUUAGCGACACGAGAUCAGGCGGAGAUGGACAUACCAUUGGGCUCGACUGUGGAUAACCGAGAGAGGUGAACGUUCUCGCAAUCCUUGUCUCUGCAUUCCCCGCCGAUAUCGUACUGACAGAUUCGGCCUUGAGGAUCUGAAAGAUAUUUCAGUACCGCAACUUGCUUGAGCGGCUUCAGAUCAAUGUUGGAGGAUCCGGAUGCGGUCGCGUUAGACGAUGAUCCAAUUACAGCUGCAGACGAAGGCAAGUAGGCAGAGUCUUGACGUGAGUGCGCACGCAAGAGAGGAUGGCUGUCUAAGAGGGAAUGAUAAGUCACAAAGACGGGCUUCUCAUGCGUUUGCUCGUCGUCGGCGUUGUCACUGACAUCGAUCUGUAGUAGCAGUCGUCAGAACUAGCGCGCGUGCGAUCGUCUCCUUUGCGAGGAUCCCACAAAUGAACACGUACCUGAGCCGACGUCUCUGGACAUGAUCCAACGACGUCGACUUCUGUGCUCUCACUUUGAUCGCCAGUGUCGUCAGAGUCGACAGCCUGUAAAUGAAACGAAAACGAAAACAAUGGCGGAAGAAGCCGUAUCGAAAAGCGAACAAAAGAUAAUGGAUGAAGAGGAAGGGCGAAGGCCAAAAAAGGAAGACGGUUAAGCAUGGAUUCGAAUGGCCGCUAAAGGCGCGGCAUGAAAUAAAAAGACCCUUGCCGCUUGCUCUUGUUGGGCUUCAUCUGUCAAAACUGCAAAAAUAUCACCACAUAGCAGCACAAGUUAAGAAAGAGCGACAUCACCAAGCAUGCCCACAGCCAUGUAAGCACGUGAAGAAAGGCAGAGCAAUUGUUUAGUGAGUGUUGUGGAUGGCACGAGAGCAGUAAACGAUGAGGAUGCCAGCGCCGCCAAAUUUGGUAUGUCCGAGGACUUGCCUUUGUCACCUGUUGCUGGAUGCUCCAGCACCUUCGGCACAACCUCUGCAGAAACAUACACGUCAGAGAAGCACGGGACAGGCAGUACAAGAAAAAAUGAGGACCGAUUGGCGUAGGUGGGGUGCUUGUCGACUCUGCGUCUGGAAGUUGUACAGUUGCAUCCUCGUGAGGUUCUAUGGAUCUGCAUAAGCGCCACCAAUCGCAAAGUGUCCCCCUGAUGCAUCGAGCUUACCACGGAGAAGCAAGUUGCUCAAGACCGUGCGCUCAUCUUGGCUCUGGCUACCUCGCCCAGUUGAGGGAACCUCCGGGGUAGCCGAGGAACUGCUUCGUGAAGGACCAAAGGAUCGAGCCGAGGCUUGAUCCUCUUCCUCCUCCUUAAUGACCACAGAUCCAUUCGUCUGCACAUCUGAUAAUGCAGCCCCACGAGACGCCUGUCGGAUAAUCAGCUAGUGUUAACGAUCCAUACGAAUAAAUACAACGACUCACCAGCGCAAGCUUUUUCAGCCGACUUUCUUCACGUUGAGCGAUGAGCUCGCGCAUCCGGCGUAUCUGCUCCUCCUUCUCCAACAACGCUGCAGGAGUUACAAGUGGCGUUGUCGGGGUGCUGACUCGUGGUGUCGGAGCGAUAGAUGCCAGAGGAGUGUUGGCUACCGGCCCGCGGGACUCUGCCCUAGACAAGAAAUCCUGAGGGGUCGUCCCGUCCAGCUCAUCCUCAGAAUCGCUGAGGUCGAUGAUACAUCUCCGUUGAGUGAUACCUGCGAAACCAGUCGUCUUCCGUCGGACAUGAGGGCGGAAGUGGUCAGUCCGAGCUUGUGAACGGGAAGGCCCAGAAUCCAUGUCGACAAAGUCGGCAGCCACCGGCCGUUUGGUCCCUCUGCGGAUGACUGUGGACGCGGUGUCGUCCCAUGGCGAGCGAGUCUGAAAGAGACCUGGGACAAUAUCCAUGUCAUUGUCGUUGCCGUAUGAGAGAGUUCCAUCGCUACCGUCGGUGGCCGAAGGGGGUACUGAAGCAGGACGACUCGAUGUCGUUGAGAUCGCUGAAGCCGGCAGUACAAGAGUCUUCGGAGAAAGCAAGUUGGACGCCGAAGGCGACCUGGUCGUCGGUGCAGGGCGAGCAAGUGGUGUGUAAUCGGUCGUGAGGCUUCCCGACAAACCAGGCACCUCAUCGUCCACGUCCAUAUCGUCAACAGAGAAUAUUCGGGAUGGUGGCGGCUUGACGCCAAAAGUCGAUAGUGCCAUUCCAUUAGUCGAGGAUCGGACGGGCCCGAUACUAUUCAAGAAGUCGUCCACAGUCUUAGUAGGUACAACCGGACUUGCGCCGCUGCUCGAGGUAACAGGUCCCGUUGAGAGCGGCGAAAUAGUGGAGGAUGACUUCUGGGGCCGUGGCUUUCGCGACGCUAAGACCGCCUUGCGUGCAAGCAACUCCGCUUUCCGUUGCAGCUCCAUGUCAGUGAGACUUGGAGACGAUCCAUUCCCGUUGCUGGUGCUAGGUACGAAGGGUGUCGCUGUCGCUGAGAGAGACGACGGAGAGUCCAUCCGUUGAGGCCGUUGAGAAACGCUGGAUGGUUCGGGGCCCUUUGUCAUCGUGGGCAGGGGCAUGUAUGGUAACAAUCCGGUGAUAUCGAGAUUAUCUGGAAGGCGGAGGUUGAGUUCAACGAAGAUGUAGAAGAUGACCUCUCGACUGAGACCGCUGUCGACGAGGUACUCUGGAGGCACACCCCAGCCAAGUAGGUCUAGGAUAAUAUCCUUGGCCAAGUCGUACUGCGCUUGAGUCACUACGAUUAAUGGGAGAUGUUAAGUCUCGCGCAGCUAGCAAACGGUAGGCGAACUUACAAGCCAAACCUGGUCGAAUGUGAUUCUCAUCGACAACAGUUGACGCUACAGUGGGCUCAGGUGCGAAGACGAGCGCGCGAGGAACAGCAAAGCUGAGGGAGGGAGACAUCGGCUCGAUCUUGGGCUUCAGCGGUGGCGGAGGCAUCUGCGCAGCCGCCUUCUCCUGCUCGGUGACCUUGGGAGAGGUGGGCUGAGAUUUGCUCUGAGGCGUCGGUGGAGCGGUCUCGGAGUCGCUGAUCUCGCCUUCCUCCCGAGCUUGAUCGCCAUCAACGUUCAUCGGCUCUUGCUCUGAGGCGGCAUCCAGCAUCGACUGCACGGUCGGCGCAGGCGAUUCAGACGGUUGAUCUGCGGACGGUUCUUCUGAACCAUAGUCGAGCUCGAUAGAGGGGGGCGCAGGGACAAAAGGGCGGGGAAUAUGAGGUAUGUCGGCAGUAGAGGUGAGCUUGCGUCUCUUGGACUUGAGGGUGAGUAACGCUGCUGCCCUGAGUGAGGCGGCAGGGUCUUCGGCGGGAGGGGCAGCAGAGGCAGCAUUAGGGACGACUUCUGAGGCCUGCUCGACAAGAUGUGGACCAGACAUGAUGCAAGGAUGGCGGCUUACACCGCGAAACCAAGAAACAAGGGGCCGGAGACGAAGGAGGGAAUGGGUAUGGGAGCACGAUGUACGAGCGAUACGAUAAGUUCCCAGUCUGGACAAGGAAGCCUCCACUUCCUCACGCACAGACCACCCGCUCGGCGCUUACUAUACGGUUCCUUCGGACAGGCUCUAAGUACACAAGUUUCCUUCAUCUAAUCCGCACGCUCCCGCUUUCACCCCAAUGAUCCUUUGUAACGGCCCAAAUAUCUCGUGGUAGGUGUGUACAAAGCAGACUCGCGAAGAGCCUGAAGAUCGGAGCGCUCAACAGUUCGGUAACUGGAAAUGUUUCCGAGUUCGAGAGCAUCUUGAAAACGCUUGGUAUUCAGUAUGUGGUAUACCAUCUAGACUCUACUGUUAGAAAGAUAAAGGAAGUGAAAUGGGGAUAGCCCGUCCCCAUGAGCCAUGGUAACAUCAAGCUGGUACCGAAAGGGCAACAGGGUAUCGUCAGUUCAAGUUGGGUGGGUGGGCCACCGCUUUAAUCACAAGCGGGAGGAUACCUACGCGAGUGUAAAUCAGAGACCAGAAACCUCUCUCGGGGCCUGCUCACCUCCAGUGGGAAGUGGAUAUCGGGGUCGUCCCAUGGUUUUUAAGAAACCGUUGAUUAUCCCGCUAUGACCCGAAAUGCAGAUAUCUGAUCACGGAGAGUGGAUGUGAACAUUCAACAUACUCUGCAGAAGCUGUUAGAUCACACACAGGUCUCGUUAUCCAUCGUGAAAAUCCGGUCCAGGACCGCUUGCGCGCGCUGCGCAACGUGUUGCUUGGUCUCUCGUCCAUCCGCUUUCCAAAGAACAUCUUUCUCUUCGAAACCCUCCUCGAACAGGUAAACCGGGGGCGGAAACUUCUUAGCUAUAGCUAUCCUAGAUGACCGCAUAUCGCAUGUAUGCUCCCCAUUCUCCUCGCGCAGGUUCUGCAUCACGGUAUCACAUCAGUAACCACCCCAAACAUUUCAUGCGGUUACGGACCUCGAGGAUCGUAAUGCACGGAGGCUCCCCCUUGAGGAAGUCGGCGCCUUCAAAUGUUUCUUGGAAGGUGCGAAGUGCGCGUUGAAAUGGGCUUCCAUAGUGCUUCUCAGGGAGGGGGAUGCCAUGAGCGCAUUCAGCCUCCCAUGCCUCCCUCGCAGCCUUGGCUUGCCUGAUCCCGACCUCGGUCAACUCAGGGUCAGGUCCCCAAGUCAACUCGUCAUCCCCGUUGAGCUUAGACCAAUGUCUGCGCAUCGUCGACGUCAGCUGGGAUCAGCCGCACGACGCAGUGGGGGAAAGACUUACUCAUCCCAAAGCUAUCACACUUGACUGUCAGCAACGAUAUGGGCGAUGCAGGACCGGCCUACCUUCGUGCCAUAUUUCGCUUCCCCAACGUUAUCUACCAUCCGUCAGAGGAAUGCUACACGAAUUCAGGGAUGUACUGCGAUGGCACUCACGAACGCCCUGGCCGUGACGAGACAGGUAAAAUACUUUGUAUCUCGUCCCUGGCGGAGCAUGCGCAUUCAGUUCAUCUAUGCGUGCUCGGAACGUUUUCCAGCGUUGUGGCGAGUCGUCCACCAACCCGAAUCGUGGCGGAAGCUACCAAGGUCAACAUCGAUUAGUCCACGGCACAGAAUCAAGCCAGACACACUCGUAUCCCACCGCCCCGAUAGCCACACCAUCCGCCGCUGGAUCGUCUUGGGCGAAGAAGCCUGUCACGAUCUAACCAAAGUUGGUAUCAGCCAGAUAUAUCCAUAACCACUCACUGCUUAGCCUACAACGCACCGAAUAGUCUCUGUGCAUAUUUCCUGGCAUAGGUCUCCAAUUGAUCCUAAAAUGUGACGAGGGGGAGGGAAAUUCCACCAAGAAGUUUAAAAUGAAGAAGUACAGAUGCUCUUCUCAAGGCCUCGAGCAGGAUGUUGGCUUGCCUCGACACCGAAGCAAGUACCACCAGUGAGUACAAAUUUAGACAGGCGCGCGCUCCGUGUCACGACGGCACCAACCUGCCACCCCCCCCGGAGUCGACUCGAAAGCCGAUUUCCUGGUGUUCACGCGCACACGAUACAUACGAAUGACGAUUUAAGUCUCAUAAAGGAGCAGCUAUAGCUAACAUUACAUCGCCAGAUGACAGCCAUUCUACUUAUUAUGUGAGCGCCUCUCCAGUCGCCAAUGACUCCAGAACAAGAAACGAACGUCGGGGGAGGAGGACGCCAGCGCCGGCACCCUGAAACUUCUACCCAACAAAAGAAACACAUACGCGCGUUCCAGUCCGCUGAACGAACGGUGCAGAUGUACACGAAGUGCGAGAAAAAGAUGGAAGGGGGCUCUAGCGGUUGAACCAGGGGCCGCGAACCGGAUCAACUAACGUGCGGGAGUUAGUCGAGGUCCCAGGACACGGUGAGCGCGCUGGUGUCGGUGGUGCCGAGGUUCUGGAAGACCUCGGCGCUGAACACUGAGAAGCGAAUAGGUGAGCAUGUAAGCGUAGAAAACUCCGAGGCCGAAGUACGUACCAAUGUCGGUGGCAGCGCAAGAGGUGCACUCGUCCUCGACGACAGCGGUGGUCUUCUGGCCGUUGGUAGGGUUCGUGAUCGUCAGAGUCUGUGGAGGCGAGCCAGUCAGCAAAGAGGCUCUAAGCGUACUAAGUACGAAAGUCGAACCUUGCCACACACUGCCCCGUUGUCGAAGAGGGCAGCCGGGAUGGCGACGACGCUGUCCGUGGCGACGAUGGGCUGGCCGCAGGCACCGGUGCCAGGGUUCAAUAGGGCUGCACUUCCGGUACCGCUGGUAGCGCCGCUGUUGCUGUUAGAACCGCUGGCCGGGGCGGUAGCACCGUUCGUGGGCGCAGGAGUACCGUUGGCAGGGGUUGCCGCACCAUUGGCCGGGGUCGUGACGCCAUUAGCGGGGGCUGCAGCAUCGGCACCGUUACCCGUGGCCUCAGAACCGCCAGGGACUGCCCGGGGGCCUUUGGGGGGCGGUGGGGUGACAGUGGUGGCCGGGGGAGGGGGAGUGUUGUUGUUGGGAGGAGGGACAGCGUUAUUGGCGGGGGCCUUAGAACCAUCACGGACUGCCCGAGGACCCUUGGGGCCAGCGGCGUUGUUGUUGGCCGGGGUGCCGUUGGGGGGCGGCGGAGCGACGGUGGUCGGGGGAGGGGGGGUGUUGUUGUUGGGAGGAGGGGGAGUCGCCGCGUUAGGGUCGCGGUUCGCGGCGGCGGCAUUGUUGGCGUUGGCCCCGGAACCGUUACGGACUGCCCGAGGACCGUUGGGGGGCGGCGGAGUAACAGUAGUGGUCCGGGGAGGGGGGAUGUUCUUGUUGGGAGGGGGGACAGCGUUGUUUGCGGGGGCCUUAGAACCGUCACGGACUGCCCGAGGACCGUUGGGACCAGCGGCGUUGUUGUUGCCUGCGGCGCCGUUGGGGGGCGGCGGAGUGACAGUGGUGGUCGGGAGAGGGGGAGGGUUGUUGUUGUUGUUGUUGGGAGGAGGAGUCGCUGCGUUGGCCGGAGGUACCGCGGGGGCGUUGUUGGCAGGGGCCGCAGAGCCGCCACGAACCGCCCGAGGACCGUUCGGACGAGCCGCAUUGUUGUUGGGGCGGGCCGCGUUGUUGUUGGCUGCAGCGCCGUUGGCAGGCGCCGGAGUCCGGUUGUUGUUGGGGGGCGGGGCGUUGUUGUUGUUGUUCGGGGGAGGAGGAGUCGCAGCCUUGGCAGGUGCCGCGGCGCGGUUGGGGGCAGCGGCGCCGUUGUUGGCCGGGGGGCGUUGCGCAACGGGUAAGGCAAACGCGGUCGCGCUCAGAGCCAAGAAGAUGAAUGAGGAGAACAACAUGUUGAUCGAAGAGGAAAGUUUGAAGUGAAACGAUGACCUGCACCAAGGAUUUGUAGUAUGAAAAGCUGGGUUCUGAAGUCAAGUACGAACUGGAGGAGUAUGCUGAAGAAUUUGCCAGCCAAACCGACUGCUCUUUUAUACCUGAGCCAACCUACCUGGUCGCCAUAUGAUACGGCAUCCGAGCUUCUCCAGUACCCGCUCGCUCUCGGGGCCCGACGCUAGUCGUACUGUGUAACUAGAGUCUUGGGGGCCGAUGUACGGAGUACCCAGGCGCCCGCAGCUGCGCAGUCGCUGGAAGCAUAGUAUGUCGUCAAAACUGGGCAAACGACGAAGGAACAUACUGCGGCGGCAGGACAUACCGGGCUUUGACUAUGGUCACAAUGGACCGCAGUGAGCUUCCUGACCUGCUGUGCAGGACGUGCAUGGUAGAGGAUAUGGUCGCAAACACAAAGUGCCGGUCCGUGGUCUCGGAGAAGGCGAUGUAGGUACAAACUUGUCAAGUUUUCCAUCGCUAAUAAUUGGCCGGGGCAGCAGAACCUAAGCUGUAGGCGACGGCACAAUGUUCAAGCGAACUCUAAUGUCAAGCUUCGAGCCUCGAGAGACGGUUGGAGGCCAACACAGGUACUCGCAAUGCUGGUUAGGAUGAUUGUGUCGAUCCUCUUUUCUGCGUACUAGGUUAGACCAUAGCUAACUGCGGAAUGAGCUUAAACUAACCUAUUAAUAGUGCUCAGACAGCAUAGCGUAGUCUUCAUGCUCGAGAUGAGUUUGGGGCUAUGGUUUGCGAUGGGAUUGAGGGGAAGGCGUCAUCAAGCGCCCCCGCUCGAACGGACACCGCCACUGCGCGUCAGCUCCGUUUUUCCCCGCGUGCACCGGCCAUCGCAACGAAACGGUCCCACUGAUACUGUACCGUCCCCCUCAUAACGUUCCACUCAUAUUCCACAAAGUCUGCCCAGGAGCUCGCUCGGACUGUUUCUUGGUGCAAACGGGGACUUUGUUAUGAGGUCCGAUGUGUGCGAUGAGGGAUUCUCGCCGAGCACCUUCGAGGAAAUUCUAGAAGGUAUCGAUGAGCAGCCGCAGUGGCAAUACAUGAUGUUUGCCCAUUUGCAAGUCUAAGUCUUCAUCCGAGCUGCACUGCAGCACCCGACUACACACUUUGCCUCUCCCUCCCGUCUACCUCUUUCGCCACGCACCAUGCCACUCAACUACUCCAAAUGGGACAAGCUAGAGGUGCGUCUGCUACACACUCUGUCGCACAUCCAUAGCUGACAUCAUGCGAACGGGGGUAGCUCUCGGAUGAUUCCGACAUCGAGGGACAUCCGAAUGUGGACAAGCGAUCUCUCAUCCGGUACGCAUACACCCCGUCCCAACUCUUCCCAACCGACUGACCGGAUCACGCAGAUGGAAACAGCGUGCGAUUCACGAGGAGCGCGAGGAGCGCAAGUUCCACAUUACCCAGCUCAAGGCGGACCUCGCCGUCAACGACGUCUUGAAGCCCCGGCUCGCCGCCAUCGCGAAAGAGGUCGAGACGCAAGGCCCGCCGCACUUCUCUUCGCUCGUCGAACGGUUCCAGACUAACCCGUCGCCGGAGCGGCCGCCGACGAAUGCCCCAGAGCAGAAGACCUAUGAUGAGAUGCUGCUCGCGCUGAUGCUGCAGGUGUGGGAGGAGGCGAAGAAGAAGGGCGUGGAGAAGGACGAUCCGAAGCUUGGGGAUGCGUUGGUGGAUGGCCUUAAGGCUAGUAUUGUGAGGAUUGACGAGCACCAAGAGAAGAUGCGGAAGGACCUUGCUGCGGCCGAAGAGGAGAUGAAGAAGAAGAUCACGUCGGAGGAUAUCCACGAGGGGUUCGACUCGAAGGUGAGUGAUGUCAUCAGAGAAGGAUUUCAUGUCUGUGGCACGCGCACACCCGUCGACCGAAUGGUCGUGACGAGUUGUAUCCAUGGAUCGGAUAUGGCGAAUCACACCGUACGUGAGGGCUCCGAAGAUAGCCUCGCCACCGCGCUACCGGGGAUGAACGUGUUGUCGACACCUUCCCGUGAGUCUUCACGCUAAUCCCAAUUCUACACCCUCUGCAGUACGUGCCACCCAAACCUGCACCGCCUCCCGUCAAGAACGCCAUCCCCUCAGACAAGCCAAAAAAGACCGUGGCGGAAUUCGAGACGCUCAACCCCAAGGGCGUCGCCGCUGCCCCCUUCGACCCCGAAGCCUCCUCAUCCAAAGCCCCCGCAAAAGACGACGACACCGAGACAGACGACCUGCCCGAGCUCACCCCAUCACUGGAGCAGUUCUCACACAUCCCAGUCCGCGCGUACGAGCAGUCCUGGGAGUUCAUCAAGGCGCACCGCGACGUCUAUGUUCCCGGGGCGUCCGACGCGCUUCUCGUCGCGGCGUUCCGCGCGCAGAGCGACGGGAAAGCGAAGUGGGCCCUUCAGUGCGUGCAUCAGAGCCUUCUCCUUCAAUACUGCGACAAGCUUGGGAAGGACGGCCCUUCUAUGUUCUUCCGCAAGUACGUACAGCGCCCUUCGCGUGCCUCCCUCUAUCCCCGCGCUAACGUAUUUCGCCGCUUCCGCUUCCCCUCCGCGCCACGUAGGAUGAUCGCGAGCGACCCGCGGGCGACAGGUGUGUUCGAGAAGGACGUCGCGGACACGUACGCGCACCUCGUCGAGCGCGUGCGCGUGUCCAAGGCCGAGGAGGAGGCCGCCGCGAGCGGGGAGCAGAUUCAGCUCGUCGCGGAGAACCCGGACACGCAGAUCGGGUUCAACGUGCCCGACGGGCCGCCCCCCGAGCAGCUCCAGCUUGAAGGGCCUGGGUUCGAGAACGUGAGCAUCGAGGAGGUCCGCAAGGCGCUCCAGAUGCAGUGGGACAUCUUCUCGGGCUUCGAUGAGCGCCUGCAGGAGGCGCUGAAAGCCCAGAGCCUGGAAAAGGUGAACAAGGUGCUGGGCGCGAUGAACGUCAAGGAGGCGGAGGAGGUUGUGAGGCUUUUGGACAUCUCCGGCAUUCUCAGUUUCUCGGAGGGCGGCAUCCGGGACGAGACCGGCAAGGGCAAGGGCAAGAGCACAGAGGCGGAUGAGGACGGGGACGACGAGGGUGGGGACGACGGUGAAGACGAGGACGGUGCGGAGGAGGUCGACUGACCUUUGACUCUUGGUGGUGUGAUGACGGUUAUUCGGUUCCGCGCGGAGGUAUGAGAAGUCAAGUACUGUAAUCUACUGCGGUGUACUUUGUAUGAUGUGGCCCUGAGCCACGGUCCUUACCAAGGUCCAUUGAUGAUGAUAUUGCAGACGCGCUCAUUGAGGGACCACAUGCGACCACCUUAAGGACAUGAAGACCGUCAGAUACCCGGGUUAUGCUAUCUUCUAGGACGUUUGUGGUGGCGACAGCGAACAACAGUAAGUGAACAGUGCGUUCACGCAGCACGGCAAAAGCCAGGCGGAAGCACUCCAUGUUAUUCCUACUCUGCUUUGCUUCUUGCGUUAUCUGUAAGCUAUUGAAGACACAGACAUCUGUACGCUUCCAAGACGGCUGCUUUUAAGAUUUGCUUACCUAGAGAGAUGACGAUGAUCUGCGGAAUCCCGAGGAGGGUGCGAUAGUGGUGCGGGCGUGUGCGGUCCCGGUCAAGUACCGAUACUUACUUAUGCGGUGUGUGGAAUGGAGAAGCCUGGGCCGCGUUGUUGACCAGGCACCCGAAUUGCUCUGUCUUUUCCCAAAAGUUGCUCGGGUAGCGACCAACCCUUGCGGUGCGCUGUGGGUACAUACUGUACACGUGGACAUUUACCAGAUCUCAGUCAGACGCCAAGAAGGAUCGAGUGCGCAGCAUGGUGGAAGAUGGUGGAGUGCAAUCCUGUGCCAUCAAGCGGGUGCAUGCGCCCGGAGCGAUGGGAGAGAGAGAUGCCCGCUAUGCCUGGCCACAAUAUGGCGAAGAGGUUGAGGAUGCUGCCAAUUCAUGCAGAGGUGGGGCCAAGGCGCCUGAAGUCGGUGGAAGGCACGAGAUUAAAGGGAUGAUUGCCGGAGGAGCAUUUGGGCGGAACGCGCAGAACAAAUUCAGAUCCCACUUACGUCGAGAUGACCAUCGAGGGCCUGAAACGGCAGGAGGGAUGAGGACCCCUGACAAUAGGUGGGGAGGCUGGAUCCGGUUUUGCCGAAAGGUGCCCAAAACAUCCGGAUUUUUUUGGUGAAAUUUGGGCUCAAACAUCUGGAUUUUUUCCAGGCUCGGCCCCCUUUGGGGGCCGUUUAUCCGGAUUUUCGAACCGGCCUGCGGCCGGUUCGCCUAUAUCUGGAUAGCCUGAUCCAGCCCUCAAAAACACGACUUUUUUCUCCAGAUAGCAUUAUAUAGGCAUCACAUAACAUAGAAUCUGCCUUGGGUCCAUACAAGAGCCAGGAGAGUUGGUUCCGUACAUCCCUUUGCCUUGCCCAACCCAGUCGGACGACCUCGAGUGGUGUAAAAUGUAGAUCAUGGUCAUUAUUGGCAUUGACACCGACUCGGACAGCCGGGUGAUUGGCCAUGAAGACAUCUGAGAUAGAGAUGACAACUUUGCUGUGCUUUGCGUCUCUUUACGAGGUUCAGAAAGAAGUCAUAAACCAACGUAUUCACACGCUAGAAUACUAACUGAACAAGCAUAGCGUAUAACCUGUUUAUAAAUAACAAUUAUAAUGACAUACUUUUGUUACCAGGGCGCCUUUGUCUCUCAUGGUCAACCGAAUUGACCUACAUAAGCAGGCCAGUGGCAGGCCAUCGGCGCUAAAGGGGGGCAUGUCCGGACAACUGAUCCGCCAUCCCACCAGUUUGGCUGGGGGUUCCGGACAAAGUUUUCCGGCCUCGGGCCCCAAACGGCCCCCAUAUAUCCGGAUCAGAUCCGGCAUUGAGGGACCAAAACGGCCCAAAAUAUCUGGAUAUACGAUCCAGCCUCCCCACCUAUUGUCAGGGGUCCUGAGGGAUGGCGCGUGUUGUUGUAUCACAGACUCAUCCCCACACUGUUCCCGCCACUGCAACGACGCCGUGAAAUAUGGAUGGCGUCCCAUGCGAAUCUCUUCAUUUCUCCUCCGCUCCCUCAUUCCCUCCGCCGCUCCUCCCUCCGCCGCCGCCCGUCUUGUCCUCCUUGUGGCCUCCAACCCGAGCGAUCACUAGUCCGCCCGACUGUCAUCCAACGUUAAGCUCGAACGCGUUUUGCAACAGCACGCUGCCUGCUUCCCCCCCGUCUGGGACCGUCAGACGACCUUAAAAUCCUCUUCCCCUGCACACCCGACCGACUUCGAAUCUCCGAAGCCUCCUCCCUUUGGAUGUAUACAAUCCCGUUUUAACACCACAAAUUCCAAUGUACCUGCCGCCUACUGUCAUAAUCCCUCACAGGCCUCAUCUUCGCGUUUCCUCUUCUUCCUCCCCGUCAUGCUAGUCUCUCCUGCCCCUACACAUCUCAGGAAACAGCCCGCUCGCCCACAGCCGGAACAUUCAACCCCCCGGCGCGGCCGCGCGAAUAGCACAGGUGCAACGAUCGUCGAGAGCCAGAAAGACGCAAUGCCGUCAAGUCCGCCUUUACCGCGACUUCCGCAGGUCCAGCAACCGGGACCAAGCACACCCCUUCCUCCUCUCCCUCCCCUCAAGAAUUUUGGUAGUCCCGGCGACAUCCUCAACCGCCCCAUCUCGGGCAAACGCAAGCUGUUCCGCUUCAAACGUCCCGCUACCGCCAAUGCCGACUCCCGCCCCGUCCGCGAACCGGAGCCGCCCAAUCGUCAUAAGCACAGCGCCAUGAGCUUGAGCGCCUUCGACGUUAACCCCCCUCUCUCCCCCUCGGCCCCGCCCAGACCUCCUCGAAACCCAGCGCGGAUCAACGUCACUAUGCGACCAUCCUCCUCAGGCGCGCCCUCAUCCAAGUCGCCGCGGCUCCGUGUGCCCGCGGAUGAAGAGAGGCAGUCCCAAAGACAGAAACUCUCGGGAGACGCUGCUGCGGACUGGGAGUUCCCCCUACCGGUAAGCAUCUCCUCCCGUUAGCCUUCUCGACGCCCCGUCCCGUCCUCUCCCACUCCAUCCCACUGCACAUCGUCGCGGCAGAUGGCUGCGGAGCCUAUCCUCGGCACUUACUGACGUCAUCCGUGCUCUUUGUGCUGCCCGUAUCGCUUCACGCGGGGACCCGGGACGGGAUGCACACAGCGCGGAUCCGAGUUCCCGCUGCAGCGGAAGAAGAGCAAGAGCCGCCGCUUCGACUCGUCGCAGAUCACGCAGGACGAGAGCGCGAAGAGCGACGUGCAGUUCUCCACCGUCGACCGCACGAUCCUCCAGGAGCUCCGGCAGAAGAUCCGCGCGCGAGAGGACCAAUUCAUCACCCGGAGCGGACGCAAGUAUCACGCGUUCGCGCCGGGGGACGUGCCCUAUCCCCGGAGCUACGAUAGGCAGAUGGUCGAUAUGUGAGUUGCUUGGCCGCCUGCCCCUUUUUUAUGGCGUCGGAAACCGGAGAUUGACGCCAUGUAGGGAUGUGUGGGAUGAUUUGUGGCAGCUGCAGUUGGGAGGCAGCAUCACGAUGCAUGUCUUUGAGACCCCUCCGGCGCGAGUGUGAGUGAGAUUCCCUGCGGUUCGCACGGGAGAAGAACUAACGUCAUAGCCCUCCAGGCUCGAUCUAGGAUGCGGUACGCUUACUUGACCCGUGUCUUCGUUUAAUUCACAAGGCUAACCGACCUUCAGGAACCGGGACGUGGAUUCUGAACGCGGCUCGGGAAUGGAAGGUGGGUCAUUUAAAACUGCUCAUUAUUGAAGGGUAGAUGCUUAAGCACCCCGGACACAAUGCAGACGUCUUACUUCGUCGGUUCGUGACAUUCGAUUCCGGGCAACGUGGCCGCGUUUCCUAACGUCUAGCGCAGGCUUGGACGUGGUUCCCUUACAUCCGGACUUAUUACAAGUGGGAUCCUUUGACCUCGCGGCACGGAUAACGUGGGUGCAGGGAAAUUUGUGAGUGAUUUUCUUGUUUCUGACCGCAUAUACCGCCUCCGCUGUCUCGUGAGCCCGAGCUCUUGUUUUCAUAUGUCUGUAUGUUGCUCGUGCCCCCCCCCCCCCUUCCGCCCUUUUCGCUGUUGACAUCUAGAGCGAUAUCAUGCCUUGCAUGUUACCCCCUGUACUUGCAGACAAUCGUCUCAGUCUAUGGCUUGCACAUGGCUGUGUAACGCCUCCCCUCCAUCUGUCUCCUCCGAUAGCCUUGUUUGCCUUUCUGAGUCGUACUCACCGGUGAUGUACCAGCCUGGAGAGCCUCCCCUUCCCGAAUGAGGAAUUCGACUACGUGUGAGUAUAUAUUCAGCGCAACGUCUCGGACGGCAUUGAUGAUCUGAAUUACGUUGAACCACAGCCGGGUCACUCGAGUCGCCCGUGGCGUUCCCGAGGACAAGGUACGUUGUAUGCGAGAUCUGCGAUCACUCCAUUACUCUAUUGACACGCAUGCAUUCCAUAGUGGGACACCUUGUUAGAGGUACGGCACCGAGUUGUCUCCACCUACCAUUUUGCGCCGACCCUGACCAUGUGUUCCCCGAUAGGAAAUUACACGUGUGAUGAAGCCUGGUGGCGCUUUCGAGGUUCGUCAUUCUUACCUUUUGUGUAACGAAUCUGUAUUGGAGAUCUGACAUGACGAGAAGAUGUGGGAGGAAGAUCUGCUCUUCCCCGGACGCCGGGGUGAGAGUGUCCACAUCAUCGACUCCCCGGACCCGAUGCGCCCGCCAACACCGCCCAAUACGGACUCGUCGCACUCGUGCGAGCAGGAGAGGUUACCGCCGUCGGCAUAUGCGCCUCCGUCAGCGCGUUCGCUAGCCUUCAGUUACUCUUUAGAUGACGUCACGCGAGUGAGAGGAAAUGUUGCUGGAGAUUCCAGACGUCUACUGCAUCCUUCACCGUCCAGUCCCAAUGUUGCACACACGCCCGUUCUGUUGCGCAGCGUCGAACGAACCCCCAUGAAUCCUCACGACCACUCGUUGCUCGAAACCAUCUACAACGAAAUGCACGCCUCCCGAUUUAUCAACCUGGAACCUGUCUCCCUGAUUGCCAAUUUACUCCCGUUACACUUUAGAGGUCGGUAACCGAGCAUUCAAGCAUUAAGCAUCUGACAUGUCACUGACUAGAAGUCUUCCAGAUGUCCGAGCCCCUCCUCCCAUAGUCAUCACAUUCCCACCUCCCCCCACAUCCGUUCCCGAUCAACGACCCGACCCUUUUCCGAAAAAGACUGACCGAAUCGUAGAUUCAGAUUCUGAUGUCGAGGAGCCCUACCAUACCGAAAGCCCAACGGAGGUCGCGUCCCUCACAUUCCCACAACUCCCUACCGUCCUGCACGCGCGCGAUGUGGCUGGUGGGACGCCCUUCAUCGCGCUCGACGCAUCGAGAUUGGGUGGCCUCUCGCCCUCAGUUAUUCGGCGAGCGACUAUCCCAUCCGCCAGCAGUGACAAGGCGGCACAGGCCCGGUUUGCACCCGCCAGCCCCCCAUCCCCAAUGUCUUCCAAGGGUCCCAUCACGAUGUCAAAACUGACAGCCCGUAUGGUUGCCACUCGAAACCCGCUCCCGAACAAGACCAUCAACUUCGACCCUCGGUCGCUCAACUUGCUUCUCAUGCUGCGGGUCAACGAGGUGUUGGGCUGUGCAGAGCCAAUGUGGGACUGGGUGGUGGAUUUCCAGGAGAGCGUAGCGCAGACCGCGAAGGCGUCGAGGGGCAAGGGAGGUGGAGGAGGAGGAGGAGGGCCAGGGUCCCCGAUCAUGUCUGAGCACAUUACGCUGCGCUCAAAUCGCCGUCGCCGGCAUCCGAAACAGGAUGCGCUCGUGAAUCUGACGAGAAUGGACUUCAAUGACCUGAUGAGACGCUUCGAGCUGUGAGUCGCCCCUUCCCCCGCUUCGGCUUUGGCAGGCGGCCCCCUGGUACUCGGCUCUUAUCACGAGAAGCCGUGCGCCAUGGGGCCCAAUGUCAGAGCUGCUCCACAACACUGCCUCGAGAAGCGAGUACUGACAUCUGUUCUUGCCAUCUCCGUCUGCUUCCUGCCCGCAGAGACAUGAAGGCGCGCAUGUACCUCGGCCCAGCGCUCGAAGACCGCCUGGGCUGGCCGUCCUACCCCGCCACCCGCACUGAGGAGCGCGACAACUUCGAGGCGAUGUGCGCCGCGUGGGCCGAGUACGAGCAUCGUCGAGCACACGCCGCGAUGGCCACUGGCACGUCUGGCCGCGCACGCGCGUCCUCAAACCCCAAACACAGCCCGUCGCCCCCUCCACCCCUGCCGACCCCUCGCAACAGCAAUGUGUUCGAGGACAGCGACGCCACACUGCGGAGGCGUCCCGGGCCGCCGGCGCGCCCCCGUACGUCCCCUGCGUUUGGUCAGAAGACCGGCGUGGACACGUUCCCAAUCCCAUCGGGCACAAACGGGGUCUUGCGACAUGCGGGCGAGCCAGAGAAGCUUUUGCCUCUGCCCCUGCGGCCGCACGGCAGGCCUAGUACGGCGACCUCGACGACAUCUCAUAGGCCCAGUACCGGCACCUCUACGAAUUCUCGUCGGCCUAGUACGGCCACCUCGAUGACGUCCUAUCGCCCUAGCACCGCGACUUCUGCGACGUCAUACAGGCCGAGUACUGCAAACUCGACGAAGUCGCACCGACCCAGCACUGCGAACUCGACCAUGUCGCAUCGACCCACCACCGCGAACUCAGCUACGUCUUCCCGUUUGUCAGACCCAGAACCAGAAAGCCCACCCAGCAGCCGGACCGGACGCAUCUUCGUUGCUUGGAAAGCAAACCAAUAGUCCCGAGGGAGAAGAAGAGAGAGUGAGAGAGCCCGUGGCACGCGUUUCUCAUCCUCCGCCUUGCCCUUCGUGCGGUCUAGUUCCCAGUCUACCUCCACCUCCCCCGGUGUUGGGCCGCACCAUGUAUGGGGCCGCUGAUCAUUCUGCUGCGGUGCCGCAGAUUGCGUCCGUCCCUCCCGCUUACGUUCGUCCUUCCCUGGCGCCGCCUGCUCGUUUGGUGCCCUCGUCGGAGUGGGAAGGCCACCGCCAAGGGAACCCACACGCUGCAUCUGGACCUUUCGACGCGGACGCUCCAUAUGCGUCCGAGCGCCGCCGCACGCUCGUUCCACGACUCUGGGCCCAACCGUGCCUCCCCUCUCUCUCUCUCGCUUCCGUGCUCAUGAACGUGAACGGCAACAAGGCAGGAACGGGCGCCCCUUCAUGAUCACCCACCUCCAUCGUCCGGCCACGAUGUGUGCGAGCUGGCCGUGGCGCGAAUGCAGCACCUCGCCGCGGCACGCGAAGAUCCCGGUCGAAGCUGAUGCCGAUGUGUGGCCUGACAUACAUACGCACUCCGCCCGUCCGUUCGCUUCGCUCCAACAGGGGCCUGCCCGGGUCUAACGUGCAGACGUCUCCGUCGCCGUGGUCGACGCCGCCCACGCGCUGGUGCCGGUUCGGACCUAGGCCCCAGAUCCAGUGCGGGGCUCCCGCGCAGGAUCUAUCUGCGUGCGUGCGUGCCUCCCGGCGCGGCGGGUUCCCCUGCUUCCCUUCGCGCGGUUCGCGUUCUCAUUCGACGCUUCGGGGCUUCGGACGGGAGAUGCGCGCGCGAUUGGAGGACAGUCUGGGGCGUUCGCAUGGACGCCGCCGCCACGGCCCGCGCUGUCGCCGCUGCAUUCCUUCUUUGCUACCCACCCCUCCUGCACAUGGGCUCUGAGCCGCCCGACGUACGUUCUUGCGUUCGUUGGGACUGGGAUCACGCUCUUUCAUUGGAUGAUCUCUCCGUUUUUCGUUCGUUCUCGCCGGAUUUUUUGAACCUUGUUGUUUUAGUGUUAUUGCCACGGACCAUCUAUGUUGCUUAUCUGUAUGUUCUGUCGGCGUAUGUGUGUAGCAUCAGCGUUGGUGUGCUUCUGACCAUUCAUUCGUCUCCUCGCCGUGUGGUAUUUGUUUUUGCCGCAUAAGUAUAGCGUAACUUAUCCUGUACUAUGCCAGUUUUCACCCUCCUCCAUUCAUUCCGUAUCUCCGCUUCGCGUCCUCUCUCUCCCAUGUUGUCGUGCUAAAGCCUGUACACUCAUUCGCCUCUUCGCUUUUUACCAGCCAAUCACGUCAUAACUCUGCCCAUACAUCCGAGCUCGCCGGCAAAUGAAGUCGCAAGACCCGGGACCUGUGCUCGUCUCAGAGUACUAGUCCGAGUCGUACUACACCGUCCUUGGCGACCGGGUUGUUCAUCAUCGACCACGCCUCGAUCGCCGCCAGGCACCACCACCAUAUCGAGCGAGUCCACUGCCAAACCCGGGAGGGGGAGCGCGUACACAGCUCAUCUCGAGGGCCCACGCCCCCCCAGCGAGGUCGGCUAGAAGCCGCGCUUCUCCGCUCUAACCUGAAAGCGCGUGUUCAAGACGUUCAUAACGUUCAUCUCCCACCGGCGGGACUGCCACCGUGUAGUGCUAGUGACGUCGCCGGUGCCCUUUCCUGGCCUGCGCUAUACCCAACGUGCGGCCCUCGCGAUCGCUUCGUCGCCGUCCGGAAAUGGUGCUGGGCGGCCCAUAUAUGGGCAGGAAGGUUCGCCGGAGUGGUUUGUCGGCGGCGGCUGCGUGAGGCCUGAGCGGUGGCUGCACACCGGCCACGUACCGUGACGUACAUACGUACGUACUUGGGUCAUAGGUUGGCGUUGGCGCGUACGUACAGUAUGCAUAUGCAUAUGCAUGUGUGCCGGCCGCAGCGGCUUCGCCACGAUCCUGCGGCGAGACGCGUACGCAUGUGCACUGCAGCGACCUCUCAGCGACGACUGUCACUGGUACGUUUAGCCCCUAUGCUACGAUGAUCCGGAACGUGAGGACGAGACGAUGGAGGGAGGCGAUCGAGCCUUCAUGAAGCCUGAUCAUAAGAGGCAGCUGGAACUUGGAAGACGCACAGCGGCACGAUCAUCGUGCACUAGUCCACACAGGUACGGUGCUAAAUAACGGUGACUUGAUGUUGUCCUCUGGUGCCACCCACUUGGCCUACUUACUCAUUGACAAGGCGCUCCGUUGGAGACUAGAAUUCGGGGGUCAAUUUAGGGUGUCACGCUAAGGGUGAAAGUGUACGCAUUUGCAUCCCCCGCCCACCACACAAGGGACCUGUGCUGUGUGCUAAAUGCUAACUGACAUAUCUUGGAGUUUGCAACAGAACAAGAAGAACAUCGACCCGACGACGGAACAUGGUGGUCCUAAUGCGGCCACGACAAGUGGACGGCGAGGGGGCCUUUCCAAUGUCCAAUAUCCGGGUCGUGACUGGCCCACAUACCAUCCGUUUAAUCGCUGUAGCGAAUGCAGGGAAGCACGCUAGACCGCACCACCUACUUGGGCUCCGUACGCGUACGUCCCGACUCCCUUGGGCCUCGGGACGACAGCAGAGUGCCGGCCCAACUCAGGCCCGAGGUCUCAGACUCGUAACGUUCGCGGAACGCGGGACUGACACCGACAGUGCAGGCCACGCAGCGCAAAUGAAAUAAAUGAUCAUCGCAUGGCCCCGCGCGCAAACAGCAAACGUGAUCAGCGCGCCAGCCCGCGGGAGCGUUCCAUCGGACGUUCGAAUUCGGAAUCCCGCACAGUGCUGGUCUAUGGCCAGACAGUGGUUAUUUGAAACCGCUCGACUCCGGGCGUGCGGUACGCUAUCGCGCGCGACGCAUUGGGCCCGGCCGGCCUUCGAUGCAUGCAUCAAUGUAUGUAUUGUACUUACGUACCGUCGCGACAGGCGCGACCCCGUCUCCCCUCCGCGCGCGUUCAAAAUCCGCGCGUACGGUACGGUAGGUACGCUCGGUCGCUCGGAGCGGUGGCCCCGAGCAAACCCGCAUAUGUAAGUGUAUAUCGUGAAUCGUGAUCGCAGGGCGGACUGGGCCGGGCUCGCCGCCGCCGCCGCCGCGUCGACGCGUGUGUGGGCCCGCGGGCUCGUGCGCCGCCGCCAUGCCCAGGAGAGGUACGACAACGACGGGCGUCGAUGAUGAUGGGUCCCGCGACACUGAGACUCCGCGAGGGCGGGCAGUGUGGCUUCUGGACGCGCGAGUGUGCAUUAUUGCGUCAUCCCAUCAUUGCGCGAAGCGGUUCCUUCUGCCGCCCGCGAAUGUUCCCCGUUUCAGCUCGGACCUGCGACGGUUGUAUUAGGGCGCAAGCGUCGGGUACUUAGUUCAUAAUUAUUGUGCAUACAUACGGCGACAUGAGAAGCGUUGAUGUCCAGGGCCGCACGCUGGGCGAUGUCGCCUUGAGCUCGCGUCGUCGCCGCCGGUGCAUGGUAGGUCGCCGUAGGCUGGCGUAGGUCACCGUACGAGUUCUCGCCAUCAGUCCGCUAGUCCCCUGGUGGCGCUGGGGACGUAGUGCGGAUAAUGAAGGGGAGGUUGAACGUUGAACAGGCGAGACGCGGCCUGAGGCGGCAAAUGGGCGAACCACCGGGUGUGGGUGAUACAUUGCGGGCCGUUGCCAGGGCGACCGUGGUCGGCGGCUGAGCGUGAAGAGAAGAGCGAGAGGGGGACGCGUGGCUCGAAGUCGUCCGCGUCCGUCAGGCCAUGGCCACGUCCAUGGUCCAUGGCUGAUGGCUGCUGGUGCCGCGGCGGGUGGGGCGCGAAGGGGGCGUUGUACUUAGUUGGCAGCCAGACUCUGGGCAGGACCUGUGCGAUUUGGACGGAGGCGAAAAGGGACGCGGGAUGGUAGCGGGAUGCGGGUGACACGAACAAGAGCCCCGCUGCCUGCCAAAAACCGUCAUCGAGGGCGAUCGAUGGCGGGCGGCUCUCUGACAGCACAAUGGAGCUCUGCUUUCGGCGGCGUGGGCCCCUUUCCCCUUUCCUCCUUGUUAUGUAACGUCUACCGACUCGUCCACUCAGAUUGCUCCCGCCAGACGUGAAUUCAGAACAACGCCCGGUGUCCCUGGUCGACCCGGUGCGCGGGAGACUCUGCGCUGCUCUCUGUCCUGUGUGUGGUUGCUUUGUGCUCGUGCGAGCACGCGCACAGACGAACAAACGGCAACUUAGCGGGCACUCCGCCUUCGGCCCAACUGCACGAAAGGAACGCAGGCUCAGGGCCCUUCCUGCCUUCGAACCGUAGCAGGGGACUGAUGGGACGCGAAACGCAGGCGGCACCGCCAGAAAAGGCAUUUGGAGAAGCCGAAGGCUCCGAUAGUUCAAGGAGGCUGCUGCAGGCGGGGAACCGCCGGUGCUGCUUGCACGCAGGCAUGCCAGCCGUAUUGCCGUCUCCGGCUUAGAGUGGGGGCGAGCUUCUUCCGUACGAACGCGUCCGGCAAGCCGGGCAGCGCGACGCGAUCCGCCGCCGCGGCGCCGUGAGUAUGCCACCCGAUGCCACCUUGCACCAGGCCGAGCGGCGACAGCGCGGCGGCGAAGACGGACGAUGGCCUGCCGUGCGGCCCUGCAGCCUGCAGCAAUAGGCAGCAUCCCGGCCGCAUGCGGGCCUAUGACGUAGUGUGGCCUGUGGUUUUUUUCUCCCUCUGCACCCUCCUCCCUCGCUGGUGCUGCACCGUCUCGAUCCCGGACUCGAGCGAAUCCGAAGGGAGGCCUGCGGUAAAACGGGAGCGGGUGUGAGCUAAGUGCGUGAUAACGAGGUGCCAAGCGUGGUCACCAGAGCACUGCGCGAGAAGGGUGGGGUUGCGCAGCCAACCGGGCUCGAGCUGCUGGGGCGUUAGCACGGCGGAGUGUCGUAAACGGCGGGGGCACGCAGGGCAGCGGCAGGCAACGGGCAUGGUAAUGUCGGAGAAGCUUGGCGGACGAGUGGCCCAGCGACGUAGCGACUGCGUCGUCGAUGGGACGGACGGGGGAUUUAUACGAAGGCCGAGGUGUGAAGAAGGCCCGCCCAAGAGGGGGCAGUCUGAGAACGCUGCACGAGGCAGGGCACUAUUUCCCGGAGCGUCCGAGCCUCGACCGUUGGCGGACGUGAGUAUGCGCACAUCUAUACUGAGCUCAUGGAAGGGAUCAGCGCAGGUCUCUGUGGCUGACGGCCGAAUCACGCAAAUGGACCCACGGAAUCACAGUGAACGGGAGCCCGGUGCAUCGGAGGGGAGGAAAUUACGGCAAGUCAGCGGGUGGAAUGAGGCGGGUUCGGAGGCGAGGGCGCAUCUCGACCCGCUGAAUUAUCUGAGACCCGGAUCAAAACGCAGGCGGAGACGAGGGCGGGGCGGGGAUCAAGCACAAGGCCGACAACGAUGAUGCUUGCCCAGCCGGAAUGAGCUUGAGCGUGUGCGGGGCGAGUCUAGAUCUGGGUGGAGCGGGAAGACGACUCGGAUUGUCUGUGGCCUGACUCUGUGACGACGAAAGAGGGCCAAAUCGGGCACGGGGGCAGAGAAGGUGUGCGAUGGCAGACGGGCGGAGAGGUUUCAAAUGCGGUGUGUCAGCACCGUUAUGGCAAUUGAAGUUGGCACUGCACCAGGAUUCCGAGUCCGACGCUGACAGAAGCUCCGGGUAUGCGUGUGGAUGAUGGGUGACAGACUGAAUUCCUGCGACCGUUGGUGGCAGUCUGCCUGCGCGGGUGGGGCGGGGAGGGGGUGAGGAGCGUGCGAUGGGACGAGGAGGGCAGUCGCUGCUGGGACGCGCGGGCGGGCAAUCUGGGCGUGCUCUGCAACUCUCAGUCGCCGCCGCCGUGCUCCCCCCGGCGAGAACCUCGGACCCAAACGGGUUCCCGCCGCAUAAGGAAACAAACUUACCCCAUCCGGCGCGAAGCUGCGUAUGACUACCGCGGCCAAGUAUAGCACCAUUUGAUUUGUGAUCCCUCCCCUCCUUGGCCGCAUAUGGCCCUCCGCAGCGUCCGCUCCCCGCUUGCCAUGCGCGGGCCGCGUGUGCUGGCGGCUGGGCGCGUGCGCACACCAAGCGGUGGUCGCAGAGGGCGCGCGGGGGAGUGGACGGGGGAGGGGGCAGAAGAGGUGGCAAAGUGGUCGCGAGCGGAAGGGUCUGGGGGGAUGCCUAAUCGAGAGGCAACGAGGUCGAUCUUCGGCUAGCUCGGGAUGGAAGGAGGCCCGAUAUGGACAUGUGAGAGCUGGAUCUGGGCGGGGUGCCUUGCUGCGAGAGUCACGAGCGGAUGGAGAGGGCCGUGCGUGGGACAGGCAAGGAAGGAGGGGAUGACAGGGAAGCGGGCGGCCAGGACGAGCACUGGGCCUGUCUUUGGAGGGAGGGGUGAUAAGAUAGCGGGAGUGGCGUGGGAGGGCGGGGGAUGCCGGGCAGACGAUGGCGUUGUUUGUUUGAUGGGUAUAUAUGGGGGGUGAGCGAAAAUGGGAAUCUUAUUUCCCUCUCAGAGCUCGUCUCCAUUUCCGGUACGCGUCCGAAUUGGGGGUGCUCGUCCUCCCAACUCGUCCCAGCCCUCCGCUCCUCUUAACCAGCUCAUGGCCUUUCGUAGAGGCCAGCCCACCCAAUCCAUCCCGUCUCAGCCCAUCCCGCCGCCCUAUCCCAACCAGUACCCCUCCCCCGAUACCCAGCCACCCCCUCUCCACCCCCACCAGUCCAUGCCCUCCGACGUCGCGUCCCCAAACAUGUCCAACAAGCGCUCCCGUCACGAACUCGACCAGCCUGCCGUCCCCAACGAUGACGGUUUCGUACACGACCCCGACGCUGCAGAGUCUGGCCAGGACGACGACGACGAUGAUGACAAGCCCAAGUCGGACAAGAAGGCAGGACGUAGGAAGAUCAAGAUCGAGUUCAUCCAGGACAAGUCCAGACGUCAUAUCACCUUCUCAAAACGAAAGGCGGGCAUCAUGAAGAAGGUUAGUCUCCCCUUUCCUCAUUCCCCAAACCGUCCUCAACGUUGUCCUCGUCGCGCGUCUCCCUUCCCCAGGCGUACGAGCUCUCCACCCUCACCGGGACCCAGGUGCUCCUCCUCGUCGUGUCCGAGACCGGCCUCGUCUACACGUUUACCACCGCCAAGCUCCAGCCCCUCGUCACCCAACCCGAGGGCAAGAACCUCAUCCAGGCAUGUCUCAACGCGCCCCACGGCCAGCUCCCCUCCUCUAUGCCCGUAGGCACUCCCAUCAACCGCACCUCCAUGCCCAUGCAACAUCCCCCCAACGUCCCCGGUGGCCUCGCGAUCGGCUCCGCCCCCAGUGCCAAGGAAGAUGAGACGCAAGAGGAGAGUGAGGAUGCCCCCGCAUCAGGCGACGCUGGUCGCAACCCUCGUAAGCGCCGUCGCGCGUCCUCGUCCGUAAACCAACCCCGCGGUAACAAUUCUCCGGCCGUGUCCGGUUCGUCUGGCGCGCCCCAGGCUGGCGCACCUAGCCAGUCACCGCACGCUCGUCCAGGUCAAAUCCCUCCCGGUGCUCCCCCAAUCACCAUCCCCGGUGUCCCGCCCCCGAUGCCCCUCGAACAACACUCGCCGCGUCAAGGCGCCCAGGCCGUGCCGCCACCCACAAGUCCCAACUACGCUCAGCCAGGGGGUGGCUACCCGCCCGCGCCUGCGAGCGGGGACCCAAACAUGUACGCGCAGCACGGCGGCUACCCUGGCGCGCCUCCGCCUCAGCAAUACACGUCGUUCGGGCACGAAGGCGCGGCACAACAGGGAGUCAACCAGAAUCCAUGGGCGUCAGCACCGGGGGUGCAGCACGGAGGGCAAUAUGCAAGAAGAUGACCUGGACGUAUUUUGCGGUUUUUUUCUCUCCUGGGCAGGAUCACACACGGACCCUGCCGUAUUGGACAAGGCUUGCUCGUGUGGUGUUUCCCGCUUCCUCAUGAUGAUUUCGGUAUGUAGCCCGUUAACGAAGGGUGUGUAUAUGACGUGCUCGUGUUGCUCCUACGUUCUCGAUUACUUCUUGUACGAAUGUUAACAUCCACCCGCCCCCCCUCCGCCGUUUCGAUAUCCUUAACCCACUUCAGCCUUACCCUACCUAUGCAUCACAUCACUCCUCUCUCCCUAGCCACGAUCAUACGAUAUGGUGUCUUCUUGUACCGUCUGAAGUAUGUGAUGUCGUGUCGCGACCAUGUGUCCGAAUGUCUCCCCAACGUUACUGUCCUCAUACUCUAGCCCACUGUGCUUUUGUGUCCUCGUCCGCGAGUUUUAUGGUUAUAUUGAAACGAAACGAAUUGCCGCGAUGUACAUAGUAGUCUCCCCCCCCUUCUCGAAAUUCGAACGUCGACUGAAUUGCGCUUGCGCACACACCGGGACUAGGGACGGCUUCGCGAAGGCGCGGCGAGAUGGAUCGACCUGUUGGUCUCGGGCCUUGGUCCUUGUGGCUGGACAGUGGACCGUGGACGCGAUCGUGGACGGGGGCGGGCGGGUACCUGACUAGAGCCCAAAUGCGAGCGCGGGGUCGAUCGAGAAUCAGAACCGGGCCAGGCUGCCGUCGGCUCGAGCAUAUGGAGUAUAGUCGCGAUGCCUGCCCGUUGCGGGCUCUUACGGGACACGAUCGCGAACGCAUGUAUGUAAGUAAGUAGGUCUCGAUGGGACAAUAGAAUUGACAUGUUUGCGCUUACUACGGUGCUGCCGUCAACCCAGGUACUGUAUGUAAGUAAUAAUGGAGUUGAUCUCCUUCCCCGCGCGCCGGGACCGACAGCAGGCUGAAGCAAUCCGGGGGUGCGAAUUUGUAUUUGUGUUUGGCGUGUACGUAUGUAUAUUGAUUGCUCGGAAGCUUACUUAGAGCUUACUGACAAGCUUAGCCCCAUAUCUGGGAUGGGGGAUUCUGCACCCGCGCACGCCGCACGGUGCGCGAGAUUGCGAGGAGAUGGAGAUGGAAGAUGCAGCGGAGCGCCAUCAAUCUCGCGCCCGGGCGCGGAAGCUUUCGUCGAUUUGCGGACGCGGGCUCGGGCUCUCGGAGGGUCGAUCGACCCGUGGGGGGCCACGGUCGACUCGCUCGGAGUCGGACUUCUCGCGCGCGGGAGCUCGAGUGAAGCUUAGGCUGUUUCAAGCUUCGGAGCCAUGCCUUUUGGAGCCGUCGGGUUCUGGUGCGCGAGUGUUCCAGCGGGGCGGUAGCGCACGUUGUCGCGAGUACGUACGCACUGUGUGUGCGUGUACGUGUACCUGAGGGCUGGAUGGGUGCUGUGUGUCGCACGGCCGGCUCGGAUGUAUGUUCGGAUACGGAGCUCGAGUCGACAUCCACGAGCGAGUGGUGCUGGCCAACACGCGUGCUGUGACGUCGACGGAACCCGGAGCUCGAGUGGACGUCGCCCUAAGCCAGGUCUGAUGACCUAUCGAGAUGCACGGCUGGCAUAUUGGGCGUGGGCGGAUGUCUGGACUCUGGAUGCGACAAACGUACGACAAAAUGGAUCCACACGACAGUUCGCGGCGAACGCGCGAGCCCCGGAUAUCCGAAUGCGAAUGGUCCGAUGGUUCGAUAGAGUAUGUCCGGGGUACGCGGUAUGCAGUGCGUGGGGCCAGUAUGUCUGAAUUCGCGUCGGAACAGAGAUUGCGGUGGGCGAUCCGUGCUCGAUGCUCGACGCGCGAUGGGGCGAUGGGCGAUGGGAGAUGCGGCUGGGAGAUGGCAUCGGGCCACAUUGUUUCCCUCGAGACUCGAACAUGACUUGGGAGGGUAAGAGUGUCCCUGACUUGCCGGAUACGUGACUUCAACGUGGCUCGUCGCCAUGUAUGGUAGGGUGAUCUGGAAACGGUUAUCAUGGACUCGUUUUGGGCAAGGAGAAGGAUCGCGGGUGGAAAACUAGCCAGAACCACAUCCUACAGAGAAUGUCCACAUUCAGUGUAUGUCAUGCGAGUGUCACCCACCGCGGUAUACGUAGUCUCGCAGUAUACGCAGGAUAACUCUGAUGCACACGUACGACAGUAUGCUGCCAGAUGGAAGACGGUGUCACAUACAAAAUGAGGAACAUAGCCUGAAGAUAAUCGUAUUUAGGACAUUCAUGGGCGCCCCGAGCAGCUUACAUUCCUCGACGACGAGCAGAUGGCAACAGUUUACUGUAGUCACUGUACUAGUUGCCAUCGGACUUUACUGUGAAUAUGCCUCAACGAUGUCCUGGGCCGGGGGACAUCGCUAGACACACGUACUGUACAGUGUAUGACUCCGGUUGUUGUCCGGUCGCGCAGACCCCGUGUCCGUCGGGCUGGGUCCUCCAAUACGACGACUCACGAAGCUGUGCAUCCAGCAAUCGAUCUGUGUCUUCUGUUAGGAUAGCGUUGGGUGAGAGUUGGGUGAAGGGACAACAAUCGGCCGAUUGGAACGGAAGCCAAAAAGUUCCGGGAACCCGCAUAUGGCGCUCCUUGUCACGAGAACCGCGAAGGCACCGAACCAUUGUGCACAAUUAGUGUCGGAUGCGCUUGUCAGGACGCUCAUGUUUGCCGGCAGCAAUUGUUCUGCAGCGGGAUAUGGAGGUUAUGGGAAAGUUGGGCACCAGGAACGCUGGACAAAGGUGACUCUUGGUGGUUCGGGCGGCGUACUGUAUCCGGAUGGCACAGGAUUCUCGAUGGCACCAGGCGGCGCAACCCUGUUUCUCGCCUGGCCCUUGUGCAUUUGUGCCAUCCAGAGCUUCUAGUGGGAAAUGGAAUCAGAUACUCGUCAGCGCGGAGGAUACACGUCAGUCGAACAAGGUAUGCUUACAAGAAUGGUGAUACAUGGCACGUCCCGCAACACGGAAAGUUAAAGUUGUGCGAUGUAAUCAGCCAAGAGGAGUAGAAGGUUCGACAUAUCUGGAUGGCGACGAUGAAGUUGGCAGACGUCUUCGAAUUCACAAUGGUGCCACCCAUGAUGCAGGAUAGAUCUAGAGACUUAGGGGCGAUGAUACCGUAUCCACAGUCUAGUCGAAACACGCGCGACAGAAGUUUGCGACCAGAAUGAUCCACUCAAAAUAUUGAGAUCCUUUGUCGCUGGGCGCAUCCUGUCAAAAUUGUGGACAGCGUGAGGGUCACUGGGCCGGGUACGCGUUGAGAACUUACAAGUACUGACCACCAGCCGAGGUUAACAUAGGUUGUGGAUUAGUAGGCGUGAGCCUGGCAGACGAGGUGGAGGAGGAGGAAACAAGCCAAGAAAGCGGCGCUUACGGCCGACGGAGCGGAACGUCAGCGCGCCAGCUGCCGAUCGGCUGGACGUCGUUAUCCCGUUCCCUGCAUACACCCACCGCCAGCGCAGGGACUUCACUGCCAAACGUCCACCUCAGACCUUGACCAGAUCUACGCCCUAUACCCGCCGAUAAUCUACGACGAGAACGAAAGAGAAUGUCUGAUCAAGCCGGCUGCAGGAUCCUCGUAAUCUCGCCCACCGCCGCGCGUGCGCACCAGUUCGUGGAACGUAUGCACCCGUCCCGCCUCGCCCCUCUUGCUCGCGCCCAAUGACCCUCCAGGUGUCCAGGCGCUCUCCCCGUCCCCCAGGCCGAGACAGGGCGAUGACGCAGACGCAGACGCAGACGCAGAUGGAGCAGGAGAAGGAGAAGCCAGCAGCGAUCCCGCGGCGGCGAUCAGCACCAGCGGACAAGAGGAGCAGGAGCAGACAAGCGUGAUGGAUCCGCUCGCUGCGGGGACGACGCGCAUCCCAUGGACGAUCACGAACAGGUACUACACUGCGGACGUCCACUUCGAGGCCCACGCGUUCGAGCACUUUAGGGUCCACCACGCCGUCGGCGUCCCGGCGAUCAUCUAUGUCUGGGGUCCAGGCGAGGUGAGUCUCAGUCAGUCCGUUCUAGAUGCACCCAUCGGAUGUUCACCUCGAGCUUUGCGGACAUCCUUAUAUCCGAUGCGUGUGCUUGUCGCUGCACGAUCGGUUAGGCAUACAGGGAGCAUGUUCCGGAGAUUGCGCAGAAGGUGCAGCAUUACGAUCCUGAGGUGUCCCUUGCGGUGCGGUUCGGGCAGAGCGUAGAAGUCGCAAGUCCGGCGGAGCCAACCGUGGAUGAUGACGGCCUGGACGAGUUCUUGUCAUCGCAUGGGUUUGAGUUUGUAGAAGGAGACAGGUCGUUCAGGAGGCCUACUCAGGAUACAAACAGGCACUCCGACGACGAGGACUCAGGUGCGCACUUCGUUGAUCGCCUUUUGGUCAACGUACAGACCACGUAUCUGAUAACCCGUUACUGACACGCUCAUCUGCCCGCAGGCAUACCUGGGCUUCCUCGUGUGAUCGAUGCUCUCAGCACAAUUAUGUGGCCGUCGAUUGUGCAGUCGGAGGCAACGAAGAAACGAAAGUCUCGCGCUCGGGACCUCAUCGGUUGGGCUCUCGAGGAAGAAGGAGACGAUGGCCUUCGUGCCCUGAUCGCCAACCCCUCCGCCUCUGCUUCCUCCGACCCAACAGAUAGCGUUGCGGCUGCAGCAGCAGCGCGAAAAAGCCGCAUGCAGCGAGAGAUGGAAGAGCUCGAGCGGUGGCUGGGUGAUGAAGAGAGCGCGUCUGGGCUCAAGUAUGGCCGAGGGAAGCCCGAGGGCGAGCGGGCUGAGCGAGCUGUGACCGGGUCAGCGAACGGGGAAGACGAGGAGGCGCGGAUAUGGGUCAUCAGUCCGCCGGUCUCGUCAGCAGAGGGCUGGGAAGACAUGAUGACACCCCCAGCGAUACGCACGCCACGUUCGUCAGACGAGCACUCAGACGACGGCGCGUCCGAACACGGGUUUGAGGACGACUUCGCCGAUUUCGUUUCCGCCUCAUCGCACGCGCAUCCGCACCUCCGGCCCCGUCGCUCGACCGACGAGAAGCUGCUCGAGGUGAACUACGACGUUGGCAGGCUCACGCCGAUGCACACCGGCAUGUCCUACCGCUCGCUCGGGUCCGUGUCUGACUUUGGUGGGGAUGGGGACGAGAGCUUCGGAGCGGGAGGGCACAGCUUCGGCUCUCUGGACAUCAACGACGACGACCCCGACCUCCCGUCGCGCGCGGAGAUCCUCGCAACGUCGCGCAGGCUCUUCGGCGUCUCUGCUCUCUCGCCUGCACCGACCUCCUCCACCCUCUCCGAACUGGAUAUCACUCCAACACGGGAAGCUUCGUUGAAUAUCCAGCCUGCUACAGGCCAGUCGCCACUACAGCCCUUGGCGUCUGCCGACUCGUCCAUGGACGCGGCGCUCGAAUCUGACGAUGCAGACGAGUCGUUUGCGGCCUUCGACCUCUCGCGCGUGUUGAGUGCGCUCCAGGGCAUGAAGGACGAGAUCGCAGGGAUGGAGGACGAGGACGAGCGGAGGCGUGCAGCUGCUCGCGUCGCGCUUGGACUCGUAUAUGGGCUGGGCGCUGGAGGUGACCGGGAGCAUGUAGUUCCUGCCACAGCCGGGGAGAGUAGUGGAGGUGCGUGAGAGGUUUGUCGAUUUUGUGGUCAUCUACGUGGUUGAGUUAAAAUAUCCCUUCGAUCUUGCUGUCGAUCGCUAUCCAACGUGGACAUGGGUGUCGGAUGGAUUUAAAUGCUUGGAAUUUACGACUUUGUCAAUAACAUUGGUUACGUUCUCCACUGCAUUUCAUGCGAGGUGUCCUGUAUGGCAGCACUCCUGAGAGGCUCAAUCGCACCCAUAAGCUUGGGGUCGUUCUGUGGUCAUUCACUUGCUUACUCAACGAGAGCUGGCACGAAAUGGUUGCGACGAGCUUUCCAGCAGUGUACGGAUGAGCACAUUCGCGCCUGAGCGAGUCACCCACUUUUCCUACCGAUCCGCAAUAUGAGUCAUCGGAGGAUACUUACCUUGUCAGGAGUGUUGUACGGUACGUAUGCAGCAUUUGUUGCUUACUCAGCCAGCGGGUUAUAUGUCUGGUCCGAGCCACAAUCAUUCGAAGUUGCGUCACUCGUCUUCGGGAUGGCGACAGCCUAUUCCCAUCCCUCGCUGUGGUUCCCCGGGCCUUCUUACGGAAUAUAAGGGGGUAAAUAUGUCUAAUCCUCGCCUUGGAUGGUGUUAGUAGCGCUGUACAUAGUACAGGGCUAGCUCGGCUAGUCUAUAUCUUCCUGGAGAGCGGAUGACUGAUCCAUCGUAGAGAACCGUUGGGCAUGAUGAUUAGAAAGCAUAACGCCUUGCGGAACCUUUCCCCGGUCCCAACGACAGUAUAAAGCUCGAGGGAACCCGCAGAGUUUGUGUCGCAUCCAACCGACGCUUUCACACCUCCUACAUCCCAGCUCUCUUAGCCUCACAGCUCAACAGUACUCAGUAGCAAUGGCCACCGCUGCAGUCCUCGCACCCCACGAUGUUCCGACCUCCCUCAACUACUAUACCCCGAUCGGCACGAAGGAGCCGUACCAGUACGUGCUCUCCCCGCCCGAGGGCAAGGAGCCCAACAACCUCGGGGUCGAGCCGCACGACGUCACGGUGCACGAUGCGCGGGGCCGCGAGGGCGAGUUCUCGCUCGACAAGAACGGGUUCCAGUUCGUGAAGUACCCCAGCGCGGAGAAGGAGUUCGACGACGACGAGCGCAUCAAGGCCGUGUACUACCCCGAGGUCGAGGCGCUCCUCAAGGAGGUCGCGGGCGCAAAGCGCGUCUUCAUCUUCGACCACACCAUUAGGUGCGUUGCGUCCUUGUUCGGAUGGGAACACGCUCGCUGAUGAGAGAUGUCUCUACAACAGGCGCAAGCCCGACCCGAACGCGGCGCAGGGUCCCUCUAACCGCGGCCCGGUCGUAUGUCCUUUCCUUUUACACCCGCACGCCCACCCCAUACUGACACGAACCCCAGGAGCGCGUACACAUCGACCAGACGUACAACGCCUCGGUCGAGCGCGUCAAGUACCACCUCCCCGAGGACGCCGCGCGGCUGCUGCAGUCGCGCGUGCGCAUCAUCAACGUCUGGCGGCCGAUCCACCACCCGGUCGCGCACAAGCCGCUCGCGGUCUCGGACUGGCGGCGCCUCGACGAGAAGGACCUCGUGUCCGUGCACUUCAUCUACCCGCACCGCACCGGCAGCACGUACUCGGUGCGCUACAACCCCGCGCACGAGUGGUGGCACCUCGCGGGCCAGACCCCCGACGAGGUCACGCUCAUCAAGUGCUACGACUCCGAGGCGGACAGGGCGCGCCUCACGCCGCACUCAGCGUUCGCGGACGCGAGCAGCCCCGUCGAGGCGCCGCAUAGGGAGUCGAUCGAGGUCCGCGCGUUGGUGUUUGACUCGGAGUAGAUCUGUACGGCCCCCGGCCAUUGUGUAGUAACUUGGAUGUGUUUGUAGAAGUACCUUGUACGGAUUUGCAGUAUGCAUGGAAUCGGAUAGCUUGGUAUUGCUCUUAGUCGUGGUUGCUUUACCCGUUCGUCUUCGUGGAGAUCAAGCAAUACACAGAAUGCUACAAUUGCUGGUCGACUUCCUGUCUAAUCAAUACAACACAACCAUAAGAAUAAGCGAACCACAGGAAUACUGCCACCUCUGGGUCGCACUCAUGCAGCGACAGCCUGCUCCGGGGCCGCAUUGUCGAGACCGUUGGCGUACUGGAACUCGCCAGAGUUCUCAUACUGGGAAGAGCAACGUUAACUUCUCUUCCAGCCAACGACAUAAGGCACCAAGGGGACAUACCUCCCACAUGUCGAUCGCAACCUGACAACUCUCCCGGACUACGCGUGGAGCAUCUGGCCGCUUCAUCCACUCCUUGAGGUGAGGUAGGACCUCCGGCGUCGCGAUGCCGCCGAGGGCUUCCGCAGCCUCAUGGCGGACCAUGUCGGACUCAUGGGUAUCCUCGAGCACCUUGAGCAGAGCAGGGACAGAGUGGGUAGAGAGCAGCUGGCCAAACACAAACGCAAUCUCGUGCCUGCGAGCCUGCGGUCAGCUUGGACGGACGAUGGAGAAAGAAUAGGGAGACACGUGCUUGAACAGAGCACUGUCGUCGCCGAAGCCAGACGCAAGCGCGUCCACGGCGGCGGGGGUGCCGAUAUUCCGCAGAGCGAACAUCGCGCGGUAUCUCUCGAACAGAGGGAGGUUCUUGUCGUUCAGGGUAUUCCGGAGCUUGAGAAUGUUCUCCUCGGACGCGUCCGCGGGUGCAGCCUUGCCCGCGAGGAGACCGGAGGUUGGGGGUGCGGGGUCGAUCGAGGUAUAGGACCUGCCACAAGAUACCACAAGAUACCACGAUACCACGACUACUUAUGAACACUAAAUACGAAGGAGAGGAUAUCUGGACAUACUGCUCAGCGGUCUUCGCUGUAGUUGACCAGUGUUUCUCUCCCUCUGCGGAGUGGUCCCACUCGAUCUUCGCGAGCGCGAUCUCGCAUGUCUCGCGCACGCAGCGCUCGGGGUCGUUCAUGUAACGUUUGAGCAUGUCUUUUGACGAGGUCGCGGAGAUGGCACCGAGGGCUUCAGCAGCCUGUAGGAGAUGACUAAAUCUUCGGGACUCGGGCAUAACAAGAAGUAGACUCACAGACCUCGUGCCGGACCAUCGGAUCCUCCUUCUCGUCGGCAAGGACGGACUCCAGUACGGGAAGCGCGGAAGUGUUCUUCAUCUGCCCUAGACAGUAGGCCAGCUCGUGCUUGAGCAGUGCGCUCUCAUCCGCGAAGCCUGGUGGUUCAACGUAGAGUUUAGUCGAAAGCACCCUCGGAGGACCACCGCGUAUGUGUACUCACCCCUCGAGAUGAUCUUCACCGCAUCAUCGGUUUUGAGCGCCUUGAGCGUGAACAGGGCCCUGAACCUGUUAUGUAGCGGUACGUUGCCCGUGGUGUUGAGCAGGGCGGCCUCGAGGGCGGACAGAGUGCCGGGGUCGAUUUCAGCCACCAUGGUGAGGGAGAAAACAGAGAUUCGAGAUUAGAUUACCCUCCAACAGCCAGGGAUCGAGGCCAUAAAUUUUGGAGAUAAGAUCAAGAUUUACUAGACGCCCACUCUCAAGUCCCGAUCAACCUUCCCCCGUCCUGAAUCCUUCCUCACGCGGGCAAUACCUCUCCAUCUCAGCUUGCCUGUACCAUUCCCUGUACUUUAGAUACCCUUCUACCUGCUGCCUAAUUCCCUCCUGAAAUGCCGAAGUCAAAACGCGCCAAAGUUGGUAAGGUCGACCGCAAGUUCGCGUGAACGAACGGGAACUGACCUUAGAUUCAGUCUCGUUGACCAAGGUCGCAAAGAAGACGAGGGAGAAUAAAAACGCACUACUCGCAGAGGCACGCAUCCUUCUAUCAUCUCUCCGAUGUGCGAAGCUAAUAGUUUCAGGUGCAAGAAAAUGCCGAUAAAUGGCAAUACUGCUGGUUGUUCGAGGUGGGGAACAUGCGGAAUUCCCACCUGAAGAUAGUCCGAAAACUAUGGAAAGAGUACGUCUUUCUACUCCCCUCCUCCUCGUCCCCUCUUCCCUAUCCUUUAUAUCCCCACAUCCUCAAACCCGCAUCCCCUCCCAGCACUGCACGACUAUUCUUCGGCCGCGGCGCCGUCAUGGCCAAGGCCCUCGGCACGACCCCCGAAGAAGAGCACCGCCCGGGCCUGCACGCCCUCGCCUCGCAAAUCAAGGGCCAAGUCGGGCUCUUCUUCACCAACUCACCCCCAGAGGAGGUCCUCGAGUGGUUCGCCGACUUCCAGCAGCCCGACUUCGCGCGCACGGGCAACCGCGCGGCGCGCACCGUCGUGCUCCCCGCGGGCCCCGUGAUGCAGCAGCACGCGCAGCCGCCCGAGCCGUUCCCGCACAACGAGGAGCCGCAGCUGCGGCGGCUCGGCCUGCGCACGCGCAUGGAGCGCGGCGUGCCGACCCUAGACCAGCCGCACACCGUGUGCGAGAAGGGCAAGGCGCUCACGCCCGAGCAGACGCAGCUCCUGAAGCUCAUCGGGGUCAAGAUGGUCACGUUCAAGGUCGGGCUAAGGGCACGGUGGGACGCGGAGACGGCGCAGGUCACGCAGAUUGAGGGGCAGGCGAUCGGGGACGAGGACGUAGGUGGGGAGGAGGAGGAUGAGGACGUGAUGAGCGAGUGAUUGUACGGUUUCCUUUGCGUUUUUCGAUUUGCUAUCACGUCUACAGUUAUAUCACGCGCAUAUACAGGCCCGUUUGGCAUCCAGCAUCCAGCAUACAAGUACAAGAUACAAGGGGGACGACAUAGGUUGCUUUCUCUUCUCCGCUCCCUCACUCCUCGUCAAACAACAACGCCCUCAGCUCAAUGCUCUGCCUAUGCGGUGCCCCCUCCGGCGUCGCACUAUCCCAGAACGCCGAGUGCGGCGUGAGCCUUGCGCGGUCCGUCUCCGAGUCGUAGCACUUGAUGAGCGUGACCUCGCCCGGCGUCUGGUGCGCGAGGUACCACCAGCGGUGCGCGGGGCUGUACCGCACACUGAACGUCGCGCCCGUGCGGUCCGGGUAGUAGUACUGCACCGGCACGAGGUCGCGCGCGUCGAGCGUGCGCCAGUCCGAGACCGCGAGCGGCCGGUGGAACACCGGGUGCGCGAUCGGCCGCCAGACGUUGAUCAGGCGGACGCGCGACUGCAGCAGGCGCGGUGCGUCCGCCCCGAGCAGCUGGUGCACGCGCUUGAUCGUCGCUUCGUACGUCUGGUCGAUGUGCACGCGUUCCUGUGCGCAUCGCGGGGGAGUCGGUCAGUGGUCGAGAGUUACGAUGGGAGGACGCUCACGACGGGGCCGCGCCCGACGUUUCGUGGCACUGUCAUGUCCUUGUCCUUGUGGCGCCUGCAAGUAAGCAUCCCGUGGGCCGUGGUGAGCUUUCUGUAAACACCUCAUGCGCGCCCGAGGACGGACCGGAUGGUAUGGUCGAAGAUGGCGACCCUCUUCGCCCCAGUGACGCUCUUCAGCAACUCCUCCGUCUCCUUGUAGUACACGCCCCUGAUGCGCUCCUCGUCGACGAACUCGGUCUCGGCGCUCGCGUGCGUUAGGAACUGGAAGCCGUGCACGUCGAGCGAGAACUCGGCCUCGCGGCCCCGCGCGUCGUGCACGACGACCUGGUGCGGGUCCUCGCCGAGGUUGUGCUCCAGUCGCCCGGCGGGUGGGGCGAGGUAGAUAUAGCGGUACGCUUCCUCGGAGGGGUCGCCGAGCGGCUUGUAGUAGUUGAGCGUCGUGGAGACGUCGUGCGGGGCGGGGAGGACGGUUGCGGUCAUGGUGUACUACGUAGAAGAGUGCGAACGAGAGGUGAUAGCAAGUUUCGUGUGCGAUCUUUGGCUCCCAGAUAUGUCCGUUCGUGAGACUGACAACUACGGGCCAGGGUGGCGGGACUUGUCAGUACUUAUACUUGCAGCCAUCCAGAGAGUUGGCACUUGCCUCUGUCAGCAGCAGAUAAUUUAGGGCCUUGGUGGGUAGAAGAAAGUCGCUGACUCUUACUUUGUCAUGCUAUUAGUAGCAGAGACCUAGGGGAGAAGCAAGGCCGACCUUUCGUCAUGUGGAUGAGGGUUUGCGCAAUCGUUCUCAUGGAUUGCAUUCGCAAACUAUACCUGUAGUCGGGGGUCACAUGGGUGAGGCUAGCUCACAGGACAUACCUGCAGGUAAGAGAAAUGAUUAUGCACGGAUGUGAUACCACGCCCACUUACACCUGCAGCUGUUUGUCGACGAAGUGGCCACGGAAGGUCAGACAGGUAAGACAAAGAGUUUCGAAGAUAGUCAGCUGCCUGGUCGAAAAGGCGGAACAACCUACCCGAUCUAAACCUAUCUGCUUGACAUAAAGUUGAGAAACGGUGAGUAUACACAUUCUUUCGGAGUUUGUAUUUCAUCGAACAAGGCGAAGGCGGAUCCGGAGACGACUUAGACUCGCCAUCGCGCAACGAUCGCGAGGCACGUCGCCCCAAGCCGUUAGGCCACAGGGUUGGCACCGAAAAGAAUGAGCCAUGGAUACACGUCUAAGCGCGUACUGUACCAGAGCUUUCGGCUCCCCAUGUUGAAUUCAUUCAGUCGGAGGUGAUAUGGCGGCUACGCUCGCGUUCAAGGUUGACGAGUCGGAAGGCUUAGGCCAUCGGUUGAAUGGCACAUGGGGGGUAGGAAGAUGACUCAAUGUGUGAGCAUGGAACAAGCUAGAAAGACCAUGCAGCGAGUAGCUUGGAAUUCCAGACUUGAAAGGAGCCCGGGUCGGGGACGACACCUUCAACUUGCCGCGACUGCGCCGAAAGCUACAGAAAGUGUGACUGGAAUAUAAGCGGUGCGUGACGGAACGUGACGAGACGCGUCGAUGAUCGUGCCACACGCGUCAAGACAGGCGCCUUCGACCUCGUCCUCCGCUCCUCUCGCAGCGACUCGCCUCCGGCAAUUGAUCGUUCUUCAGCCCUCCCUCUGUUCGGCCCGUGGGCGGAGGCGAAUUCGGAAGGCUAUUUGGCUGUAAGAAGCGCCCCUGCAUGGAACACGUCUUGCGCCAGGACCCCGACUCGUCCUGAUCACCCUCCCGCCCCGGCGAACUCGACCAUGGCUAAUUCAGAUAAGCCCGGAGUUAGCUGUUCCGUAGAGUUCAGAGUUCAAUAUAGAUCGAACAGUGAGCACAAUCUUGACGAUAAGCUUGCUGACAUGCCAUUUCACUGUCGUGCUCCGCGUGAUAUCGCAGAGUUUGUGUCAUCUGUGCCUUCCACCCAAGAAAGAGACGGACAGGCGUUGAAUCUGAACCUUCGACUCCACAUGCACACCUACGGAUCAUGCCCUCAUUCAUGAUCUGCGUAGCCUAAGCUUCCGCCCUGGAUCCUUCGUCUCUCCGUCUAGCCCGCUAGAAGCCGUUGCAAGGAGAGCAAUUGGCCGAUCCAGUCCGGCUUGGUAGGCUUCUGAGCAUGCAUAUAUAGUCCGUAUGCAUCUCAGGGAAACGUGCAUACAUUCCGGUCGCGGACGGAGAGACGGCACUUCGAUUUCUGCUGCAUUCGCUUCCGAGUAAGAAAGGGCCGAUGGUUGGAAGUUUCGCGAUGGACCAACCUUCUUGCUCCAUCUCCUCGUAUUCCUCGAUCGUCCUCAUUACCCUCAUCUACGAGCGGUCCAUGCUCGUCGUGCCCUCUCCCCCCGUCUUCCGUUCCCCCGAGCGUCGCGAUACCCUCGAGCGCAUCUAGCAGCUCGUCGACGAACCAUGGCCUCCCCCGCCGCUCUAACGUCUGUCGUGUCCGCUCGUUCCAGACGUCGUACUCGCUAACCCUUCCUUUUCUCAGAUACGGUCCAAUCUUCGUCGGCGUCAUUUUCAACGUCCUCCUCUACGGCAUCAUGAUCACCCAAACAUAUCUAUACUUCAACGUUUACAAGAAGUACGCCUUCCGUCGUCGCCUUUGUCGACUCUUCCUUUACUAACCAUCUCUAGGGACCGACUGUGGAUGAAGCUUUUCGUAAGCAUUCUGGCACCAUAUUCUUACUCUUUGUAGUCUGCUCACUCGCAGUCGCGUCCAAGGUCGGUCUGCUCUUCUUAUGCGAUACCCUCAACACCGUGUUCGACAUCGCGUUUCUCUACGGCCCUUUGGUCACCAAUUUCGGUUCGUACAACGCCGCAACGAUGUCGAAUCACGCUGAUAUCCUCGAAACCAGGCAAUGAAUCGUCACUCAUGUACGCUUCUUGGGGUGGGUCUACCCGUUCGUGGAGGAAAUGUCUCACAGCCGCUGAUUCGUCUCCCAGUAUUCGCGACUGGUUCGUCGUCCUCAGUGGAACAUCAUAUAUCAUGAUCGACACCAUUGAUCCUUUCUCACCUUCCCCAUUGCUCGUAGACCCUGCGAUGACGGUGAGCCUUUGGCUGGUUUUUGUUGCGGGAGUUGGAUCUAAUCUAUAACCAGGCACUUAUCGGAAGCCUUGUGCAAUGUUUCUUUGCCUGGCGGGUGAAGGUCCUGACCAAUAGCUUGCCCGCCGUGUUUUUCAUAGCUACCUGUGCUAUCGUCCAGUUCUGUAAGUCAUCGAUGAUGCAGACUCCGCCAUACUAAAAGUCGUUCUAGGCGGUGGCUUGGGAACUUCCAUUGCCGUUGGCAUGAUCCCGGAGUUUAUUCACUUCCAGAAAUUUGAAGUUAUUGUCAUCAUCUGGCUCGCCUUCUCCGCAGUUGCCGAUUGCGCGAUUACUGUCGCCCUCGUUUGGCAUCUUGUAUGUGUUUUUGAGCCUCUUGAACGGGGUCUUACCUUACGAAUGGACAUCAGCGUAAGCACAAGACCGGAUUUGUUGCCACGGACGACAUCGUCAACCGGAUUAUUCGACGUAUGUCAUUGUACCCAUCAUCCUUCCUCACUAGCUGAUCUCUAGUGUACUUUAGUAACGGUUCAGACUGGCCUUAUCACCGCUCUAUGCGCCCUAGUGGACUUGAUUUUAUUCCUGGUUACAGUCAGUCCUCUUUUUGGUUCCGUGCGUUUACUGCUUAAUAUUCUUCAACAGCCAGCCGGCCUUCACCUCCUAUUCAAUCUUCCUCUGUCCAAGCUUUACACCAACUCUCUCAUGUCCAGUCUGAACUCUCGGUCUGGAUGGAGGUAUGGCAGUGGGAACGGGGAAUCUACUUCAGACGAUGUGAAUCGCACCGAUCACGGUCGUCAUAUGAAUGUCCGAAGCGAGACUGGGAGACGUGUCAGCAUGAUGGUAUGUGCGGGACGCGUGCCCGCUGUAUUGUGUCUGAAUUUUGCUUGAAUAGCCCCCGAAUCAAGUCUACAUCGACGUCGAAUCGCACGAGAUGGUCGACGUGCUUGACGCCAAAAUGCUUCCGGCGAGCGCAGCCAUCGCGAGCAUGCCAACCAAGCAAUAUAACGAGAAAGCGGGGAAGCUGACUCCUCACAGUGGCUCUGAUUCCUUCUGAACGAAACUGCAUUCGCAGACGAAUCAUGGUGGUAUACGCACCUGUAUCCUUAGCCGUACGUACGUUCUCUCUUUACUACUUUGCGCUACCUUGUUUUCACGUUGGGCGCGUCGUUGUAUUCUGAUGUAGCAAUUAUCUGUAUUUGACUCUAUCAAUUGUGAUGCCACUCCGAUACCCGUUGCCCUUUAUCCAACACGGUGUGCUCGGGCAGAACUAAGGUCAUUUGCAAUCGGCAACGCCUUCGCUGUACGGUCAGCAUGCGCCCGUUUCUACAUCUCCCUACAAGGCGAGCGUCCAUCGUUCUCUUCAAUCUCGUCUCAUGCCUAUACUUACCAUGGUCUUCGAGGACAAGAAACCCACUGGCAGGCUCUUGCAAGUUGCGAAUGAUAAACGAGGGCCUAGAGACUUUGUUGAUGCCCCACAUCAGCGGCAGUGCAAGGGACCAAAUUGGUCGUUGCUGGCACUAACUGGGCUAAGUAUUUGCCGUCGCCGUUGAACCCUUUUCUCGCGAUCGACCACUCUGCAUCCCUCGGGUAUGGGCUUCUAAACUCCAGCAGUUUUACAAACGGUAACGUGGUCAAUCUUCUUUGACGUUGCAAUCUUUCAUCUUCAAUUUCUCAAGUGUGAUGCUGCUCACGGUACCUUCCAGAUGGUCGGCUAACUUUUCCGUACGCCGGCCGUGGUCCACUAGAAUAGGUUUGGGCUCGUGCAAUUAGGAAAUAAGUUCUUAUCUUGACAGAACGCGGGGUCGUCUGCUAUGCCAACCCCUAUCCGUUUGGAGUGUAGCGUGCAUCGAUCGCACCUUCCUGUUUAUUUUUCCUCGGAAACAUAGGUAAGUAAGUAUGGGGUCGAUGCGGAUCCUUACACUUGGCCGCCGGGAUUCCGAUAUUGGUCUUGGGCCUGGAGAGGCAUCACGUGGAUUACGCCAGCGGGGAGCACUUGUGUGGGAGUGUCCAGACUCCAGCGUGGAACUCGGCGGGCUUCGCGGUGCGAUGACGUUCGAUUUCCAUCUCUCGCCGCUACGUAUACUGAUUUCUGUUUCUUUGCGCGUCGGCUAGGUGACGCCAGCAGAGUGCUUGGCGCGGGGCUCGACCUGCUCUCAACUUCACCAGGAGCACGCAUGCUAUGGCAGUUCAUAGCGAUGUGACAUUUGAUCCCUCAAGCCGGAGCAAAGCGAUGAGCCUGCCAAACCCUCUCCACAUCUGAGCAUGGGUUGGGCGCCCGACAGGCCCUAGACCUAGCCGCGGCAAUCGCGGUUGCCGUGGAGCUUCCUAGUAUCCUAACGAAAGCUGUCAAGGUCAAGGUCCCCGAGCGGCAAGUACAGUAUGUAAGCGCUAGCGACAGCGAAUGAUGCACCCCCCCGGUGUCAGCUACUCGCCGCAUGGGUUGGUGACUUUUCUAUCCGUGAACCCCGUUCUCGGUUUACCGAUUCAGGACCUCCCGCUUAUUGGCACAUAUGCAUACAUCCUUCGUUGACUUUAGGCACGCCAAUAACCUUGCGUCACGACGGAGAACGACGGAUGAACCCAGUCCAGGAGGACUUCUCUGCGCGAUCAGACUUUCUCUUGGCGUCCGGACGGACAUAAGGUUUUGCCGCCGGGGAAGCUAAUAUUUUGCGCGGCAACAUCCAGAGAGGUACGUGCAAGGACUGUAUACACGACCAUUGGCACGGGGGUGCAAACUUACUUACGGUAACUAUCAGGUUCUACGCCGAGAUCGGGUCUGAUCGAGUCCAUCCGCGGGCGUGUGAAGGUGUAUGUGACUUCCAGCGGGCAAAUACAGGCCCCAAACUGAAUGUUGGACGGGCGGCCUGAUGGAAAACCUGGCAGCUUUUGGCAGGUGGAUGGUGCGCAGGGGUACUUACUUAGUUACGAUUGGAUCCACAACCCUGGUCGGCUGCUAGUGAGAACGACAACGAGUUCUCGUUACGUGACGCGCGCAUUUGAAGACACGAUCGCGCACGCCGUGCGGGAUGAAGGUUUCUGCCGGCAGGUUGGGGUUCCUUAGAUCCGCAACAUCGGCGGCAAGCGAGCGGGGUCCUCGUCGGGCUCCCCCCCUCGAGAGGGUCGGGCUCGGGAUAUAACAUCCCCGGAUAUGGCAACGCGACCCUCGAGCCUCGCCCUCCCCCGUCCCUCCUCCUCGUUUAUUAUCCUUCGUUCGUCCCUCGCGCCCAUCUUGGGCGAGAGCGCGAUCCUGGCAGUCACCCUUCUUCAAUCGACCUCUGUGCUAUAGUUCACCCCCGCGCCGUUUCACAGGAUGCCUUCGGCCGCGCAACAGGUGUGAGUGCUCAUUAAUAACGUUAUGCACGUCGCGCCUCGCGUAUCAGUAUCUUUAACUGACUGCCCCCCCCCCUCUCUCUCUCUCUCGCUUCGCACACCGCCAGCUAUGGCCCCAUCUUCAUCGGCUUGGUGUUCAACAUCCUGCUGUAUGGGAUGAUGGUCACACAGACGUACCUGUACUUCAACAUAUAUAGCCGGUGAGUUUGUCGUUUGGCGCCCGUCCUGCAGGGGGCAUGUCCUGACCGAGCGGAGGGGGUCCAGUGACCGUUUAUGGAUAAAGCUGCUCGUAAGUGCAUGCGCUUCUACGCAUCGCUGGUUGCUGGGUUUGGGGGCAGGGGUCUCACUAGUUGGUGUCAAGGUGGCCGGGUUGUUUGUAUGCGAUACUCUCAAUACGGGCUUCGACAUCGCGUUUGUGUACGAUCCGCUCGUAAACCGCUUCGGUGAGUAGUGGUGUUUGACGACUAUGGUUCGGGCGACGAACUGAGUGAAGUGUACCUAGGGGAUGACAGCGCAGUCACCAGGGCUACCUGGGGUAAGUUCGCAACGGCUUGCUUGUAGAUGGAAGCCUCGCUAAUGGUCUCACGUGCGUAGUGUUUGCGACGGGUAUGUUGGCAUAUCGUGAGAUGUUCUGUUGUAUGCGCUGAACGCAAUCUGCCCGCUGCGCCACAUAGACCCAGCGAUGACGGUGAGACGGUUUUGAACCUCUGCGUGUGAUCGCGACCUCGAUGGCUGAGACAUAUUAUAUUUCUGUAGGCCAUCAUCGCCGUGCUCACGCAGAUGUUCUUCGCAUGGCGUGUAAAGGUCUUGACAGGGAACUACUUCGCGGUCGGCAGCAUCGUGUUCUCUGCUAUUGCCCAGCUAUGUACGUCCAACUCUUUCCUCAAUGACCAACAAUGGAUCGCCGGCUGACCAGACUCACGUUUCGCAGGCGGUGGGCUGGGCACAUCCAUCGCGGUGGGGAUGAUCCCAGAGUUUGAACAGUUCACGCGGUUCAAAGUCAUCGUCAUCAUCUGGCUUGCGUUCUCCGCGGUCGCCGACGUUCUGAUCACGGCGUCGCUUGUUUGGCACUUGGUACGUCCCGGAAGUGUGGGGAUUGGCUAGGGUUCCGUUGCCCUUGAUGUGCUCGGCGCUGACACGCUCCGUCCGGUUCGCACAGCGGAAAAACAAGACUGGGAUGACGGUUACGGAUCACCUAAUCGACAGAAUUAUUCGCUGUGAGUUUCUUGGAACCAUCUAUACUGAUUUGGAAGGAGGUCGUUGCUAAUGUGCCUGUCUUCUCUUCUCUUCUCUUCUUUUCUCACCAACGUAGUGACCGUCCAAACCGGUCUGUUGACCGCCGUCUGUGCUGUCGUUGACCUUAUCCUCUUCUUGCUCAUUGUAAGUGUGCUCUUCUGUUCUGGAUGUCGGCACGUUGCCUGUUCCCUCGACAUGCCGUUUCUGACGCUGUUUCCUUCGCGCAAUCUUCUAGCCUUCCGGAUGGCAUCUUCUAUUCAACUUGCCAUUGUCGAAGCUCUACACGAAUUCGCUUCUAUCAAGCUUAAACUCGCGGCGCGGUUGGAAGUAUGAUACCAGCGACGUGGUCAGCGCUUCGCACCACCCGGACAUGCCUGGGAGCGGGCAGAGGGGCAGGAAGAACGUCCAAGUCAAUGUCCUCCGCAGUGAUGUCGGAAGACGGGUGAGUUUGUCCGCCGUUCGACCUUCUCCUCCCCCACUACCUGCUCCUCCGUCCUAUUGGUUCGAGUUCGUGCGCUUUCAUGUGCUGACAUAUGGGGUUGAUGCAGACUGGGCCGCAGCAGAUCUAUAUCGACGUCGAAUCCCACGAGAUGGUUGACGUCACGGAUUCGAAAACAAAUCAUUAUCCAAGCCCGAGCUCGUUCCUUCCGGACACGAAGAUGACGGGCAUCGCGGAGGGGCCUAUGUCGGACUCGCAGGACUCAGGGCUAAGUGUGUGAGGGGUUGUAUCUACAUUACGUUGUCGUACGUCCAUCCUUUGAAUUACUUUCAUUUUGCACCAGGUAGAUUUUCUUAGCUACAUAGAUUGGAUGGACUCUUUGUCGGUGCUCGCCAUUUCGCUCGUUUUUCUUGAAAACUUGGACCCACUCGCGUUGAGUGGGGAGCUAAAGUUAUUGUAUUUUUAUUCUUCAUCCUUCGUCCGUAAUAGCUGUAGUGGUUCACAGUUGUAGUAGCCCCGACCUUGCCUCGCCGCUGGUCUCGAUGUCGAUUUACUGGAUGCUGGGCUUGUCCCAGCCCCCCUCCUCCCUGACUUCUGCCCGCUUUAAGCUGACCGUCAUGCAAGCAACUCGUGUGCACCGCCACCGCCUGUGAGGUCGGCGCCGGAAGGGCGUCCUUGGAUUUUGCAAUUGAGCAGAGUAUUCGCAAUGUUCGUUGAUGCCGAGUGCCAUGCCUCUGCCCUUCCAGCAGCUGCUUCGCUGGCACUGUAAGUACUCCACCGCACCUUCCUGAGCUUUGAGCCAUCGACAGCGAAUUUCUGACCAGACAGAGCACGGCGUUGACAGGUCAACAAGAUGGUAACGUUGCUCGCGUUUACCCUCGUCCCAGCGUUGUUUGUUGCACACGUCGCUUCGGCCUCGCACGUCGACCGUGCAAUUAAUCCAGCGGAUGACCCGAACAGGGUUCCCAGUCCGCCAAUCCUCCAGCCAAACCGUGAGAUUGAAUGGCAGUCUUUCGAAGUUCAGACUGUGAUUUGGUGAGGAUCGGGCGUUACAUGGUUCUGCGGUUGAAUUGACACCGAAAUGAAAACUCACGGAUGGUCGUGAACAGGGACAAUACUGGCCUCAACGUGACCGGGCUGAACGGGACGCUCCUGCUGGGUUAUGUGCGUCCGGACACGACUAGAUUCGUGUACAAAGGUACGCGACCGAUCUGGCCGCGGAUGGCGAGAAGUACCUGUACAGUAGUAGCAUUGCUCACGCGCACAACCCCCUAUUUCCGCACAGACCAGCCGAUCGCCCAGAACUUCCCGCUGGCAGACGGGGCGGUCAACGUCAUCCCCCCGGAUGUGCCCACAAGCAGUCGCUACUUUCUUAUCCGUACGCCGUCUCGCACGUGAAUUCUCCGGCCCCCUUCGCCCGCUCACCGUCAGGGUCCUCCCCCCCGCUUUUAACAUUACAGUGCUCGGCGACAUGAACAACACGACCCCCAUGUUCAGCAUCGCGGGCACGGACCAGAACGACCCCACGAACAGCGCCCCGCUGUCAAGCCUCCCGCCGCAAACAAUCGCAACGCGCUCUGCGACGAUCACGCGCACGGACAUCGUCUCGACGGUCGGGGGAGCCUCAACCUCAAGCACCAGUACCCCUAUUGGUAGCAUAACCUCUGCACAACCUUCUGGGACUGGUGCACCGAACAGCGCUGUGGCGAGUGGCGUGAACACGUUCCUCUGUGCAGUAGGAGCACUUGUGGCACAUCUCCUCGUGUUUUAGCUACUCUUGUCUUUGUCGUGAAAAUUAAGUUCACGGGUUAUUGUCCUCGUGUUGUUGUUCCAUCUCUUGUGGCUUACACAGUCAGGGCCAGGAAACGGUAAAAUAGGGCUUCAUGGGCGGUCUGAGGUAGGAAAUAAAAAAAUGCGUUCACACGCCAUGCAUUAAGGGGGAAUCGAACCCCCGGCGGGUCGAUGGCAACGACCCAGGUUACCACUACCCCAUUAAUGCAUUGCGUUUAAUGACCCUGCCAUCCAUCAGAGUGAAAGUGAGCGAGCGUAGUGCACAAAUGUUCCCGGCGGCUCGCAGCGGCAGUGCCAAACUUAUUCCCUGGUCCGUGCGCCGUGAGGGCCGGUAUAUAACCCACGCUCAGACAUCGUUGAUUCCUUACCACUCUGGCCUUUUGGCUUAGAUCAAGUGUAGUAUCUGUUCUUAAUAGUUUAACCACUAUUAUGGAGGCACCGCCUCCAUUAUUGGUUAUCUAAUUUUUGCCGCCCUUGUCCUUCGAGCUCUGCUUGCAACUCGGGGGCGCGAUGACCUUGCCACUGCACUGCCGGCUUGCGUCGUCGGGGGAUCUCCCUUUUUCUUUUUGGGGCACCUUUGAAACUGGUCAGUUGACCAGGAGC